rnacentral:lncRNA from 1 species
AUUCUUUAUCUGAUACAUUCUUCCAUGUUUCUAACUGAAGAAUAAUCUACUUGUAUCUUGCAAUUUUUGUGUCUUUUCUCACCUUCGAUGUUAGAUACAAAUUGUGUGUCGUUUCUCUAGAUGCAAGCUGAAAUUAAGCGACGAGCUUCGUUUUUUAUUGACGGAAAAUUCAAUUGUUGGAAAUGGAUGGGUUUCCGCUUGUUCCAGUUGGAAAAUAUUGUGUUCCUGUUAUUUAUGAGAUUUUUCUAUAGUAUAUUGGUAUUUGGUGCAUGUGUCGAUGAUUUGAUAAGUAUUAAGUUGUAAUCCAUGCGUUAUCUUGUGUGAAAUUGGUUAAUUAUUGUGCAGUGUUAGAAUCUAUGUAAGUCAGGCUCUAAAGAAAUAAACCCUGCAACUUCCUUGUUUUCACGUUCUACUAUUAACGGAUUGGGAUUUUUUCUCUCUUCAUAUGAAGGAAUAUUGUUACUGUUUUGCUUUAAUUGUUCUUCAGUUGCGAGCGCUUAUGAUUUAAUAAUAGGAUGCAUAUGCUCGCUGGAGAAUGUUUGGGGUUGAUAGUCAGAAUUUUGUAAGUUAUGAAAAUAGAUGUGUGGUUAGCAAGGUUUUUAUAAGUGGUAAAUCCAUAAAUUUAGUUGACGGGCUUUAUAAUUAAGUAAAAAUAAAAAUGUGAAGUGUGGGGCUUGAACCUGGGUCGACAAAGGCUGAGUGACAGUUUUACAACUGAGCUAGCCAUUGUUAUUAGUAUUAUUUCAGUUUUUUAUAUAUAUUAUAUAAAGAGCAUAGAACAAAAUUGAUAGGGCUUGAGCCCUUGGGUCUAUACUAAAUCCAUUGAUGGUUUUAAUCAUGUUGUUUUGAGUUGAUAAUCUGUGCAGACCUCUAUAUUUAUUCUGAUUGUCUUGUAUGGGUAGCCACAGUUCUGGCUUAACCUUUGUCGGUUUAUGUUGUUUUGAUUUGAUCUUGAUAAUUCUACGUUGGUUCUACUUUACCUGCAAGGCUGUUGCUUGUUAUUCAUUUCCCGUACAUUCUUUAUUGUAGGACCUGCAAGAUGUUACAGGCAAAUUAAAAACAAGCCUUAUCCAAAAUCCAGAUUUUGUCGUGGUGUCCCCGAUCCCAAGAUCAGGAUCUAUGAUGUUGGAAUGAAAAAGAAGGGUGUGGAUGAGUUUCCUUUUUGUGUUCACCUAGUGAGUUGGGAGAAAGAAAAUGUGUCCAGUGAAGCUUUGGAAGCUGCUAGGAUUGCCUGCAACAAGUAUAUGGCAAAGUUUGCUGGGAAGGACGCAUUCCAUUUGAGAGUCAGGGUGCACCCCUUCCAUGUUCUUCGAAUUAACAAGAUGCUUUCAUGUGCUGGGGCUGAUAGGCUCCAGACCGGUAUGAGAGGUGCUUUUGGAAAACCACAAGGAACCUGUGCAAGAGUGGCUAUCGGUCAGGUUCUUCUUUCAGUUCGGUGCAAGGAUAGUAACAGCCAACAUGCACAGGAGGCCCUCCGUCGUGCUAAGUUCAAAUUCCCUGGUCGCCAGAAGAUCAUUGUCAGCAGGAAGUGGUAUGCCUCAAAAGAUUUUUCAGUUUUUUUCUUCUUCAGCUAAAUGCCCUUGUGGGUCAUUCAUGUUGUUUUAGUGCCUCAAUUUAUUUUACAGUAAUUAAAUCUUAAAAUGUUACCAAUCCUAUGAUUAAAUGAUUAUUGCUUCAAAUUUCUUUUUCAGGGGUUUUACUAAAUUCAGUCGGGCUGAUUAUCUAGCUUACAAGGCAGAAAACAAAAUUCUUCCUGAUGGUGUUAAUGCCAAGGUAGGCUAUAUCGCAUUCAGUCAUAUGUCUUGGAAUUUCCUUUUUCUUUUUUCAUUUUACAAGCACAAGAAUGGAUGUUGGGUUAGAUAUUGGGCUACGAGAUUUUACUUUUCCUUUUAUAUCACAUGAAUUUAAACUCGUUAAAGACCAUGUGAAGAGCAUUGACUGUCCUUGGAUGAAUUUGGUUUGAAUGGUGGGUUGCUUAGGGUCAUGUUCAAAAUUUGUUGGUUCUUCAUUACUGAUAAGAACAUAAUUAUUCGUACUUUCGGUAUGUAAAUAUAUCAUGAGAAUGGUCGAGGUGCUCAUAAUCUUUUAUAUCUCAGUGGAAGAGCUGUUCUUAAGGCACGAUUUGAUGGUUAAUUUGCUCUAUUUUAUAUUUACCUUCCUAUAUUUUCAACUAAUGAGUUGGUAACUGAACUUUUCAGCUUCUUGGAUGCCAUGGACCUUUAGCAAAUCGUCAACCUGGAAGAGCAUUUCUAUCUCAAGCCUAAGAUCAGCUAGUUCUUUCGUUUUUGUCAGUUGUUUUUUUCUUCUUUUUGUCGAUUUUGACACUUGAACAAGUCUUUAUUAUCAUAUUUUGUUUGUAUUAAACCUCAAACUAAUUCUGGCAGUUUUAUCGAUCUAUUAUGAUGAGGAUAUAUCAAGAAUCUUGGUUUUUAAGGCUUCCUAUUUUCGAACCAUUAGUUUAUUACAUCAGUGUUUCAUUUCUAAUGUCAGUACCAAUAUAGGCCAUUCUUUUGCAUUAAUGUUACUUUCAUCGAUCAUAUCCAAAAUGAUUUCAAUAUACUCCACUGCUGCUAUCUGAAAACUAUUCCCUUAACCUUAAAAAUAGGAGAUGUGAAUCAACCUAACUAUUGUAACCGGAGAUGUGAAUCAAUUCUAACUAUUGUAAUUUAUUAAUGGAGACUAAUAAAAUUAGUGGUAUGUACUUAACAUUUUGAUCAACUAACUUGAGGUGUGACGACUUUCUUGAUCAAUUAACUUGAGGCAAUUGAAUAUAGGAAGUAUAAGGAAUUGAGUCGACUCGCGAAUUAGAAGAAAGGACACGUAGCCGGGGCAAUAGUUCUCUUUUCCUAAUAUUAAUAUAAAACAAAAACUAAACUAAACAAAAGAGAAGGGUAGAGAAGAAAGAAAUGUAGAAAACAAUUUAACACAUGUUAUAAGUUAUGUUGUAGAAUUCAAUAUACUGGUGUAAAUAACUAUGUUGGUUUCUACGUUUUAAUAGUGAUCACUUCUUGUCCGGUUGGUUUACAAAUGGCUCCGAGUUAGGAAUUGAUCCGACCCAACCGAGAACCAUGUUGCAACGGUCGGUCCAUUUCAAAGCCGGCCGGUUGGGUGACUCCGCAAAGGAAUCUCCUUUUCUUCAUUUUCUUGCAUUCGCUGCGGUCGUCUUCUCUUCUCUGUGUCCAGUUCUUCUUCUUCUUGGACCGAACUCAAGAACCCGUUCACUACAAACUCUCCUUCAAAUGCUCCUUGCCUGAAUCUCUCUACAUAAUCUUCAUGCUUUCCAAAUUCUCAAAACCUUCUCAAAGGGUUCUUGAGGGUCUUCUUACCCUCAGGCUCAGACUCCAUUUCACUCAUCAUCCGAUCACCCACUCCAAUGCCAAUCCUCUUCGAGAUCCGUUCAUCGCACAUUCCUUCUCUUCAGCUCCCUCUUUCCAAUCGAAAUUCCCUUCAAAACCCAUCUCUUCCAAUGUUGGUUUGUCCCAAUUCCUCUAUUCUCCCAAGCUAACUGCUGGAAAUUCUUCUCUGGUUACUAAAUUGAAUGCCCAUCAUUCUGCUUCUAGGUUUAGAUUCUUCUCUGUUAAAAUUCCUCGUUUUGGGGGUCAAAUCAAUGGAAAUUUCGCUAAGAAGGUUAUUGAUAAGCCUGCUGCGGCUGUUAGUUCUGCAUUUUCGAGGUAUCGGGAAGCCAUUGGGUUGCAGAUUGAGGCUUUCUUCAAGAGAAAUUAUCUUGUUCUAUUGGGGUUUGCAGCAGCUUUAAUUUGUGCAUUGCUUUGGAAGAUUAUGUUUGGUAUUGCCAACACCUUUGUUGGGCUCUCUGAAGGCAUGGCUAAGUAUGGAUUUCUCGCUUUAUCUUCAGCUAUCGUUGCUUUUACUGUGAGUUUUCUCUAUUAUCUCUUUUCCCUGUGUUACCUUCAUUUUCUUAGAAAAUGGAUUUAUUGAUCCUUUUGUUUGGCUUGUUAAUAGUUUUGUGUAUAGCUUUUGUUUGUUUACUUGUCAUCAGUGGAAAUAUGGUGAUAAGUUCCUUGGGUACCCGGAAGAGAUGUGAUUAAGAUCACAAAUUAUGCGACUGGUAUAGAAAUUAUUCUGGCUUAGGAGCAACUCUCUCUCUUUUUUUUUUUUUUCCUUUCUUCCCUUAGGUUCUGUUGGAUUUUUAAAUAUUCUGGGACUGUUAUGAAAUAUAAGUAAGGAAAGAAAAUGUACUGUUUGUGACCUUGUACGGCUCAGCGUCUCUAAAUGGAGCGUUGAACACAAGUUUUCUACGAACUACUCUACUUGAGAGCUCAAAGGACACUGUUAUAAAACCUAUAGAAUAAAUCCUGUUCAAGUGAGGUUGUACUGUGAACUACUCUACUUAUGCGGUCAGUUUAGAUUGGAGGACUUUUGUUUGGCUCUCUUUGUUCUUUGGGGGUGCUUGGGGCGUUGGGUUGAGUUCUAAAGUCUCUGGAGUUAAAAAGUCUGAGUUUAGGGUGUAGAGUUGUUUAAUUGGAGUUAAGAAGCCUAUGUUCGUUGUUUAGUCUGUGGUUAGGAACCAUUAGACUUUAGAGUGAAGGGGAGAGAGAGAGAGAGAUUGAGUUUCUCGAUGAACUUCAAAAAUGAAUACUGUUGAGGUUAGUGGAAUUGAGUUAUUUAAAACUAACGAAUGAAGUUGGUAGGCCCAACAUGCCCUUAGGUUGUUUUGCUUGGCUUUUCAGUAUGGAAUGAGAUGACAUCACCUUCUCGUUUCCUAUUAAAAUACACUACUAGCCUUAGCUAGUCCACUGACAGGCUCACAACUUAAUGCUUUUAUGAAGGUACAUACGUGCUAUCUCAAAAUUUAUUUAGCUUUGAUUUUUGUGAUUUUUAGUUUUAAGCUCCUAGUCAAGGAAUUUGAAGGUAAACCUACACACAAGCAGAGAAAAUUUUUAUUUCUAUAUGAAUCCUGAAUCCAUUUGUGCUUCCGUUGGGACCUAUCUUUCCUGUUUGUUAUGACCUCUUCUCCUCAACCCUGUUUGUCAAAAUUGAAUGUUAUUUUUUUCUUUAUGAAGAAUUAUAACCUACUUAGGUGCAAGAAAAAAAAAAUUAUAGCCUACUUUGUGGAUUGCCAAUGUUGAAUGGUAUCUGCUCUUUUUCCAUUUCAAGGGCCUCUAUAUGCGCUCGAGAUUCACAGUCAAUCCUGAUAGAGUUUAUAGAAUGGCCAUGAGAAAGCUCAAUACGUCAGCAGGAAUUCUUGAGGUUAUGGGUGCCCCUCUUACAGGAUCAGACUUGAGAGCUUAUGUUAUGUCAGGAGGCGGGUUCACGCUGAAAAAUUUCGCACCAAACCGUAGGAGCAAGCGAUGCUUUCUUAUUUUUCCAAUCAGAGGUUCUGAAAGGAAGGGUCUAGUCAGUGUUGAAGUAAAAAAGAAGAAGGGCCAGGUUUGUCUUUUUGCUUGCCACUUUCUUUAUGUUUAACUAUCACGAAAUUAUAUUUUUCUUUUUAAUCUAAAAAUCAUUUUGGUAUUAUUUCUUGACAUGAAGCUAUAUAUGGACUUUUUCUGAAUUUCUGGAUUUAUGAUUUUCUUUUCCAUACGGAGAAAUUUCUAUUUUGGCUUUCCCUUAUUAUUUUUCCAACAGCUAGCUCUUUAAGUUUUAGUUAGUUAACUUAUAACGAAUGGCUGUUAAUUACUUAAUUCAUAAUGCAUCAAAGAGGUUAUACGAACGCACAUUGGAAGAACAUAUAGCCGUUUGUUGUAAUUGGAUUUCCUUUUAGAUCUUUGAUAGACAGCUGAAGUAGCUAUGUGAAUUAGUUGACAUAGAUUAACUACUAAAGUAUGUUGAUCAGAGUGUUGAAAUAUGGUGUAAUGAGUUUGUUGGCCAUGUUCUGAAAGUUAUGAAGGGUAUUGUGGGACAAUUAUGCAAAAUAUAAGGAUAGAAUUGUGAGAAAGAGUCUUCUCAAUACACUAUCGAGUAUUGACCUUGUAGUAUCGUAAUCUACACAAAAUACAAAAUAUUGGGAUAGGUAUAUUUAGCUGACAAGGUGUCUUGUAAUAUAUUUAACUUAGUUAUGUGGCCAUUGUAUUUGACAAGUGAUCGUUCUGAAAUUGAUUGGGAAGUUGUGAAUCCUGUGAUUCCAAGUUUUGUGUUUUGUAGAAUCUGCUUCUCGGCUAGGUUACACAGGUCUCGAUUAACUUCACGAGAUAACUAGUGCAACAUCCGGGUGCCAAGAAAACUUGUAGGAUAUUAAAUUCUAAGUGAAUCCAUUUCCUCUUUGCCUUUUAUGAAACUCAAUAUCCUUUAUCUACCAUCGACCAAUCCAUUAUGGUUAUCUGAAACUGAGCUAGAAAUGGGAUAUCUGAUCGAUUUGUAAUUAUUUACAUCCUCCAAUGCAUAACCACCAAUCCACACACAACCAAAGACCAAAGAUCAAGUAUAUUUAAUAGUUAUGAAGUUGCUAAAGAAAUUCCAUUGCAUAUUCUACAGUGUACAUAAGUAGAAUAAUCUCCUUCGUCUGAAUAUUAUAUGGUAUUUUCUCUCUUUUCAGUAUGAUAUGAAGCUACUGGCAGUUGACAUUCCCAUGGCAUCGGGACCCGACCAGCGGCUAUUCCUAAUUGGUAACGAAGAAGAGUACAAAAUAGGUGGUGGACUGAUAUCUGAGCUAAGGGACCCUGUUGUAAAAGCUAUGGCUGCUGUCAAGGAAUUUGAUGAUCUUGACCGAAUUGAGGAAAAGGAAGAUGCAGAGAGAGAACUUCAAGAGGCAGAGAGAAAGAACCGAGAAGAGAUCGAAAAACUCGAGAAAGAACGAUGAAUUUUUGUGAUAUCAUUGUCUUUGUAGUAGUUCUUUGGAGCCUGUUUUGAGAAUCUAGCCUCAUCUUAGAAAAAUGAAUUUGAUUUUAAGAAUCCCAAAAUCUGUAUGUUUAUUGUAUUUUUGGAAGCUCACUUGACUUUGUGCAAGAUUUUCUUUGGAUUUUAGAGUUUUCACAAGAAUCAUUUACGGCAAGUAAAGUUGAAUAAAGCUUGCAAUGUUAUUACUAUGUUAUGUUUGUGUACGUGUGCUUUCGAAUAUUUGAUACUAACUUGAUUCAAAUAAAAUUGACAAAGUGAGUAUAGUUCAAUUAAUUUAAACAUCCAUCAUCUCUACCUUCCUCCUCCCUUAUUGGCAAUUUUAAAUUUUGAUGAAAUACGAACUAUUUUGUUUCGUAUGAGAAAAAAAUCGAUGAGUUAUUAGGUAUUUGUCGACUAUUUUAGUCUAAACUUGUAAUUUAAUCCCUAGAUUAGUUUAGAUUUAAUUAAUUGAAUUUUUUAUCGUAAAAUAGAAAGGAAUGAUUAGUUCGAUUUUUUUGUCAUUUUAUGAAUAAAUUGACGGUGUAAAAAAAUUUCAUAUUUUAAAAUAAAAACAAUAAUUUAAAAACCUAAAAUAUUUAGAGUCCUUGUAACGAAAUAAGAAAAGUUCAUAACUAGUGAUUAUUUUUUCUUAAAUUUCAUAUAUGUCUUUAUGAUUUAUUUAUUAAUUUUGGACCAUCUUGAUCCAAUUAAGGUCAGAUUGAAUAAUUAAACAUACAAGUCUUUCAUCGUAUCUCGCGACAAUGUAUGCUCGAAAUAAAAUAAAAUAAGAUAAAGACAAAAUUAUUCUAUCUCAGUGUCACUAAGACUUGUGAUACAAUAACUAAAGGAAGAAUUCUUUCAUCUCAGAGCAUAAUAUGUACAUAUCGUGUAGUGGGAAUAAUUUUAGUAUUUUACAUUGUGCUAUAUAAAUAUUUUAUUAUAUUUUUGAAAAAACUCUUUUUCCCUCGGUUUUCUUUCUCUUAUAUUUUUAAUUUUACAAAUUUGAAAAGAAUAAAAUGUAUUUUUAAAAUCACGGGUACUAACCGAUGUAGAAAUAUGAUUUUGGUCCAUUUAGUUUCAAAAUUUGUUAAGAGGAAGACAUCCUAAAAUUAGAGAUUUGGAUUAAAAUCAAACAAACCUAACCAACAAAAAAAAUAUAUAAAAAUAAAGAAGAGGCAGAAAAAGGAAGAAAAGGAUUUCAUAUUUUAAAAAAGAAAAAGGUCUCUCCCGCCAGUUUAUGGGUAAUAUAUAAACAGAAUUUUGCAUUACCCAAAAUCCAUUAAAUCUCAAUUUUCAAAUAUCAUCUUUCUAACAGAUUUUGGAUUCAAUGGAAGUUAGGUUUGAUUUGAUGAUCCGAUCGUGACAAAUGGAAGUUGAUCUCUAUUUUGAUCCCCUCGCCGUAAAAAUUGGCUUCUCCUUCUCGAUAUUUCCCUCUCUCUCUCUGCUCUAACAUUCCUCUUUCUCCUUCAAUUCAUGCAUUUCAUCCUUAAUUACUAGAGAUCUCAUUUCCUCCAAAUUUUCGUUUUCUUCUUCGUCCUCUUCCUUCUCUUGGCGCUGAUUCUCCUGAAAAUUUCAGGAUCGGCUUCAAUGACGAGUUGUACAAGAUGCUGAAUCAACGUUAUCCCGAGGUAAACAUGACCUGUCCUUGUCCAUGUCUUGUACGUCUUUUCAUUCUGGUAGUCCAGUUUUCUUUAUAUGGAGAUGAUAGAAAAUUAUUGAUUCCAUUAGACAUAAUAUUCAUGAAUGUGUUCGUUCUUUUGCGCUUAAUUAUUAUUUGUAUUUAUUGGUUAAUAUUUAGGAGGUAUUUUAUGUUGUUUUUGUGUCUGAUUCUUUGUUUCUUGUUGAAUACCUGCAUCUGAGAUUUGCUUCUUGACGUGAAAUGAUAAUCCUCUGCUUCGAUGCAAUAAUGCCUGCGAUUGUAUUUGUAUUUUGAUUCACCUGUUAUUUCUGUAAAAAUUUCGAAGAGAGACCGUUUUGGUCAUCUUUGAAUGGUUUAUAGGAACUAAUUGAUUGACAUUGUAAUCACUGUUCGUGAUUAUAGAAGAUAACUUUUAAUUUGUUUUUUUAAUACCGAUCGUUUCUGAAAACACACUUUACUAGUGGAAGAAAAACUAUUUUAUGAAAUAGUAAACGAACAAGUUUAUUUGAUGGUUUUCUUCUUAUUCAAUUGGUUUCGGUUUCUUAUCACCAUUUUCUUAUUGAUAAGAGAGAAGAUACUUCUUUAUUUUUCAAUAUCUUUUACGAGAAAAAAUUUGUAUUGGUAUUUAUAUUUGCCAUUCUCUGUUUCAUAUUUUUGUUUCCAUGAGAGUUGACUUGAAAUUAUUUCCUAUGAGGUUCAAAAUUUGAAAUUAGACAUGAUAUAAAGAUGUCAUUUCUCCUAUGAAAGAUUAGCUCAAUUGGUUACUUCCCUAAAGAAGAAGAUCGAACUCCAUGAUUUUGUUGAACUCACAAAAUGAUAAUGAUAGUAAUUGUAAUUAUUAUAAUGACAACAAUCGAUGCAUUAACUGUUAGGACAUUUUCCUCCUUUCGCUUUCACUUUCACUUCACGUCUUAAGGUCACGGUCCAAAAGAAUAUUGAGUUGGCUUAACAUUCAUCGGUUUAAAACCGGUGAGCAUAAAGAAUGGGAUGAAGACUUAGCAACUCGAUGUUUCCUCCACGUUUCGGAUUCGAACAUCUUUUUAUUUAUUUUUAUUUUUUUUCUUCUUGUGCUUGGAAAAGAUAAUAUGUUUUGAGUUCGAAGAUAUGUUACCUUGCCUUCGUGGUCAAUUUACCAGUGAGAAAUUGGUUGGGAUCUUAAUGCGAAAGUAGAUCACUCCACUUAUGAAUGGAAAUCUACCUAUGCCCUUCUUGUCUUAUCUAAAGCAUUUUUAUCGUAUAGGGUUAGAACAAAAAUGACAAUUGCACAAAGUAAAAGGAAAAAGAAGUUCAAAAUAGAGUUUCGUGAAAACUUGAACAAAGUGUGAGACAUUUUACUUCAAGUUUCCAGUGCAACUGAUUGUAGGCUCCAUUGGAAAUUGAAUUAAUAUCUAAUCCUACAUUUGCUCUUGACUGAUACACAUAUUAUGCAACUUAACAGGUGUCCUGUUUGGAAACAAUCUUAAUUUUUCAGACAGAGAUUCGAUCUUGUAUUUUCAAUGGGAAACUGCUGGACUAAGGUAGGCCUCUCUCUGGAAGUUCAUUUUCUCUCUCUGAUCAGCUUAGAAAUUCAGGGUUUUGUAUUGAAUUUCUGGUAUAGUGCUUUCUGAUUUAUUUUGUUUGCUAGCACCCAAGUCUCUGACAUGUCUCUUGUACAUUUUAUAUUUAUUCAUCAAGUUCAUUGUCAUCUUGGGUCCACAUAAACAAGUGGAGGUUUGAAAAAUAUCACACUUUUGUUCUGUGGAUUCUUGUUCAGAAUCAUGCAAGUCCACUAAAUUGUCAGAGGAUCAAAUUUUCACUCUUUAAAUAUCAUAUCUGAACUCUCUCUUUCACAUAGAUUUUUCUAAAUCAAACGACUUUAAAGAGAUUUAACCUGAAAGUUUUUGUUGGAAGCUCCACUCGUCCAUGUCUCCUAAUGGUCAGUGUUGAUUUAUUCCACUUUCCUCAUUUACAUGAUGUUAACGUUUGACCCUUGGAUAAUCGCAUUGGAGUGUUAGUGUUCAAGUCUCCAUCCUUGAUACCCAUAGUUUGAAAAUUAUUGGACGUAGUGAACAUGAACACGUACGUUGUGGUAUUCAAGAUGCACAAUUAAACCAUACCUUUUAUGGCUUUUGAACACUUCGUCAUAUCUUCAAUGUGAGAUAAAAUGGUAAAUCUUGCAGUUUCGACCUGCUCAAUUAAUUUUUGUAUCUUCUAAGUUAGUUACAUCCAAUACACUUGACAUUUUGCAGCUUUUCAAUAGUGGACAAGAAGACUACGCUGAAGUCCAGAAUGUUGAUAGCAAAAACGUACAUCUCAUUACGUCGAUGGAGAAGUGGGAGGCGAAGCUUUUGGAAGCAACCGAAGAUGGCAAGAUUGUAAGUUAGGAUGACAAGUAAAUUUCUAGUUCAUUUAUUAUUCAUCAUCAUGUUUGACAUUAUUAAUUUAACAAAUUCAGACGAAAACCAUACAAAGUGUUACGUUUUAAUUAUCUUUAUAAAAAUUAACUAUCCUAACAGGUUAUUGCAAACUUCAGUGCACAUUGGUGUAGACCUUGUAAAUCCAUGACUCCAGCAUAUUGUGAGCUUGCUGAUAAGUAUACUUCCAUGGUAUUUUUAGCCAUUGACGUCGAUGAGCUAGCCGUAAGUAAAACCUAUCUUUUGGUCAUCCUUCGUUUAUUUAUAUAAUUAACUUGAUGUUUUUAGAGGCAUAUAUAUAACUAAUAUGAUGAAUCUAUAGCUCUCCAUUGGUAUGCUGUUCUUGUCCAUGGCUUAACUCUUCCAUUAUAUUUUAACAUUUGUAUGGUUUUUAUUUCACAUUUUAUUUCACUCUCAUCCCUUGUUUUGUUUUUGUUUGUUUCUUGUUUUUGAAAAUAAGGAAAAACAAAGAUCAUGUCUAUUAGUUCUUUCUUUCAAUUGUAUAGAUUAAACAUAUUUUUUUUUUAACAAGUGGUAAUUUAUUAUGUGUUGGAAAAACUAGAAUUAAACAUGAAUUAUGAUAAUACCUCAAACUAGAUUUUAUUAGAGUUAUUUUUAAAAAUAGUAAAAUAAAUUAAAAUACUCAUCAAUUAUAGCAAAAUUUUGAAUUUUAUCAAUCAUAGAAACUGAUAGACUUUUAUAUAACUGUUUAUCAAAGCUGCUGAUUAUAAGCAUAUCAAUGUUCAUCAAUGUUUAUUAUUGAUAGAAUAUGAAAAUUUUGUUAUAUAUUGUAAAUAUUUUGUCAAAUUUGCGUUUUUCAUUUUACUAUUUCUUUUUUUUUGAAACGGAAACAAACUUCUUUAUCAAUAAUAAUAUACUAUAAGAAUAACAAAGAAGCCUAAAAAUGGGAGAAAGAGGAUCAAUAAGUCAACUAGGUUGACCCCUUAGCAUCCUCAAUAUAUUUAUUUCUCAAAUUCGUAUAUAAUUUCAAAGUUCCUUUUUCUAUUUAUAACGUGUGGGGUCUAACUUUGGUUGAGAAUACAUGUAGGAUUACCACAAAUGAAGCCACACUAAAUGCUUGUGUAUGUAUGUCUAAGAAAAUGAUAAACAGAGAAUUGAAAAGAUUACCAAAUUAAAAAUAACACCUGAGAAUGGUUUUUAGCUUGUUGUAUUGUGUCCCUAAUUGGAGUUUUAUAAAGUUUUAGUGUUUAGGAGAAUUAAGAUGGUGAGUUGAAAUAUAUACUAAUGGAAGUUUGUUAGACGACUGAUGUGGGGGUGAGUGUGUUAUAUAUUUUUGGCAGGAACUGAGUACAUCGUGGGAUAUCAAAGCCACGCCAACGUUCGUGUUCUUUAAAGAUGGUCGCCAAGUAGAUAAAUUAGUAGGAGCUGACAAGUCAGAUCUGCAACAAAAGAUUGCUGCAAUGGACGAAUCGGUAAUCAAAUCUCAGACUUGAUUCUUCUUCUUCUUCUUCUUUUUUCCCUAUCGUUUUUUUGCCUUCCUCAAUAUCAUUCAUAUACAUAGAGAAAGUCUAAAAAAAGCACAAAAGAAAUUUCUCAAAAAGUGAUCAAAACAAAGUAGGGUGUACUACUGCAUGAGAAGAAAAUCUUUUCUGCUUUCUUAAUUAAUUAUAUAUCAACUUCUUCAGUGUGAAGAAAAAUUAAUCCCCAUUAAUUCAUACUCAAAAGAGGAUAAAAUUAAAUCACUCUUUUAUGAUUGGUUCCUUGCUUUGCAAGCGAACACACCAUGUACUUCUACCCCAAUGCAAUGCAAUGCAAUUUUAAACAAUUACCCAAAGUUAUAAAUCAUCACCAGUUAAUUUUAAUUUAUUGUUGAAAUUAAAUCACAUAUGCAUGACAUGUUGGUUCUUAUAAUAAUAAUAAUACUUUAGUAGGAAGAAAAGAUCAAAUUUUAAAAAGAAAAAAAAAUGUUUAGUUAAUUAAUUAAUUAAUUACAUAUCCCCCCAUAUUUAGGGUAGAGCUUUUUACAAGCAAGCCAAAGAGUAGAGAUGGAUUGGAGAAAAAAGGGCUAUGAUCGGUAUCCAUUUCGUAUACGAUUUCUGGUGGCCAUUUCUUUAUCAUGGCUUCUUGUUGCUCCGGUUUUAUUACUCGAUCGUACAUUGUUCUUAUAUACACUCGUUUCACCUUCUCUGCGCCCUCCUCCUCGCUGCUGCUGCGCUCCUCAUCUCUGAACUCUGCAGACAUUAACGCCUGGAUUGGCCCUGGUCUCAGUAGCAUCGCUGCUAGUGUCGAAUCCUAACAUAGAUUUAAUUAAUAACAUCAAACACUACGUCCUUUAAUUCAUUCAUUCUUUUUAUAGAAUGGGUUUAGGUACCUCUUGGGGACUCAUGUGAUAGGCGAUUUUACGUUGGAAUUCCCUCUUGAUGACCGCAGUGGUGGGAGGUUGUUCGGAUCCUAGUCCAAAUCCUAGGCUGUAAACAUCUCCAUAUUCAGAAAAAUCUGGCACUCCCUACACAUUAAAAAUCAUAAUUAAAAUAAGUUUAGCUUAAUGAUAAUUAAGCUAACAUUUCAUUAGAAUAUGAUUCUAUCUUUCAUCUCCACUGCUGAGUGAAAUUGUUUACUGUGUCGUGAUAAGAAUAAAUCCCCUAUUUUUCACACUACUGUUAGUGAUCACAUUAAUUGAUUAUGAAGUCAACACAUAAAUUAAUAAUUGUUUAAAGGUCUAGAAAAUGUCUAAUUAUGUAAGGUCUAUAGAUGGAGAUUAGGGAGGAGGUUACACGGGUGUGUACCAAGACAUCGGAAAUUUUUUACUCCCCUAUUGCUUACAACACACGUGUCUCUAUCUAAAAAUGCAUCGAUUUUAUACAUUAAAAAAAUAGAAAAAGAAAAACCCAAUUCUCUCUCUCUCUCUCUUUCAACAGCUCAACUUCAAUCAAUCACCAUAAAGUGAGGAAAUGUGGUUGUCAACAAUUUUCUUUUCAUUUUGCCAUAUCUAGUAAAAAAAAAUCUUCCCUCUUUUUCUUCCUUUCUAUGCCUCAAAAGCUUCCGAAGCGUUUCCCCGAGCCGGAUUGGUAGGUAGAGAUUAGAGAGAAGUGAGAUAGGGAAAAACUAGAAGACUUAUUUGGGCUAGCGUUGGGUGGAAUCCAUAACUAACUCCAUAUAUGAAACUCCCACUAUAUUAUAAGUAAUCAAAUUAGUAUUAUUUUUUUAAAUUAGUGUACACAAUUUUCUACUUUAUCUCUCUAUUUUAUUUAAAUUAAAAUAAUUUACACUUCAAAUUAAUACAAACAAACCCAAGGUUGGAAAAAUCACAUCAACAGAUUUGAAGCAGAUGAGCAGGGAGAGGAAUAAAAAGGUGGGACACUAUUAUAUUGAAUAAUGUAGGAAUGGAAAGGGAAAAGAAAGAAAAUAGAGUUGAAUAAACAAGAGAUGUCCAUAUCAGAUUGGGCCACAUGGGCAGAGCAGGAGGAAUUCCUGUGCCCAAUCAAUAGGGAAUUAGAAAUAGAAUGGCUUUUGUAUUAUUAUUAUUAUUUUCCCUUCAUCAUCAAAAGAAUAAUAAUAAUAAAACCCAUAGAAUACAAUUUGAGUGCACACGUGAGAACUGUGAACUUGUCGCCUUCUAUUCAGCACACUAAACACUAUUACUUUGUGGACUUUCAACACUCCCCAACUCCCCUAAUAUCCUAAUUUUGACUCCUACUUCAAAAUAAUAUAAUACCAAAAGAUAUUCCAUCCACACUCUACCAUUAUACACAUUACACACAUAAUGAUUUAUUACAUUCUUAAUUUUCAUUUUAAUAUACUCUAUAUUCUUCUAAAGGAAUGUUUUAAUCUUAAUUAGAUAUUAAAUUUAUCUAAGUUAAAAUUUAAAAAGAAAAAAAGAGAGAAAACUUUAAAUCUACCUAUAAUACCUAUUAUUUGAUGCAUAAGAAGUAUGUUAGGUAAAUUAGAGGUGUGAAUGGAUUGAGUUGGGAGACACUCUCGACCCAAACCCAUAUUUUCGGAAUGAUUGAUUUGGCAUUCCGAAUAAUAAGAUUAAUUUUUCUAAAAUAUGGGUUGGAUUGGGUUGUUAGACUAUAUAUAUAUUUACCCUCUUAUAUGAUCGUUUAACUUUUUACCUUCAAAUAUGCUUUACUUUUUAUAGGAUGUGGUAACUUUUCAUACGAUCAUUUAACUUUCUACAAUGUUUAACUAUAUAUAUAUAUAUAUAUUAAUAUAGGUAGGGUAGUUUAGCUACCCUAAUGCAAAUAUUUUAAUUUAUUUAUUUAUGAAAAUGUGUUGGAGUAAAAUGUAUUUUAUUUUGUAAAAAAUUACAUAGAAAGCUUUUUAUCCGCAACGUAGGGUGUGGCACAAAAAAAUUACAGCAGCUAAAGGAAGGUAUUUUCACCAAAGAGAGGGGGACACGUUCUUGGCUGCCGCUGUGGUUCCACCGUACCAAUCUACUUCGGGAUAAAAAUCGCAUUCAAGCGACCUCCACUUUUACAUUACAUUACCACAACUUAUCACUUAUAUGUACUUUCUCUUUUCCUUUAAACAUAAAUCUAACACAAUUUUGGUUAUUAGUCUUUUGAAUUAUGUUUAUGCCCAACUCAAAUUAUCUUUCUUUUUUAAACUUCAUGCUUCAGUCUUUUCUGGACAACAAAAUCUUUUGAAUUAUUUCCUAGAAAGAGCUUGGACGCAAUCCUUCCUGUGUCGCUUCCGUCGAACGAAUUGUUCAAUAAAGUUCUUUUCUAGUAAAAUUCUUUUUAUAAAAAUUAAACUAUUUUUUUUUAAAAAAAAGAUAUUUGUCCAAGAAAAAUAUUAAAUACCAAGAAUAUGUUACAAUUUAAUAUGAAAGUUUUCGAUCAAAAUCCGAUAUGUGAUCUUCAUACAUUUUUGUCAUUAGUAGAAAUUAAACUUCAACCUCGUGAAUGGUAUUGUUUGCUUGUUAAAUGUAGGAAGGAUUUAAUUUUUUAUGAUUCAAUGUCUUUUAAUUUAUGGUAUUUCUUAAGAAAAAAUCUUCAAAAUUAUGAAAAAUUUAGUAAAGAGAAUGAAGUUAUCACUUGCACAAUUAACAUUUAACUGAUUUAAGUCUUACAAUCUGGAUUUGGAUUGGUUAAUAUAAUGGAAUAUUGGUUAAUAUAAUGGAAUCCUUAAUCAAAAUGUUAAUAAAAGUUUAGUUUACAUGAACCAGCUGGCUGGUGGCUGUCUCUAUUUCAUUUCCUAAUUAAAAAGACAAAAACGAAAGUGUUUAAUUAACUGAGUAAUGACUUCUUUUUUUUUUUCUUUCUAGAAAACGAUAAAUAGUUAAUGGCUUUUUAAUGAUAAUAAGUUAUAAAUUUCGUUUCAAAGAAAAUUAAAAUUUAAUUAGUGAGAAUUUUAUUGAUUCUUAAAGAUAGUUUAUAAAAUCUUGUUACGUUUUAAGGACUAUAUUGUAAUAUUUGAAAUUAUGGGGACUAAUUGUAAAUUUUAUAAACUAAAUUUCUAAUUUAACCGAAUGAAUUAGCAGGCUGGGCGUUUUCUCUGCCUCAUGCCAUCUGCGAUGAGAGCAAGAGAGCUUAGCGGUUCGACUAACGGCCAAAACUAUUCACACGUUUUCACUCGCAUAUAAUCGACAGCACCACCACCGCUGGCCGGCGACGAGCUUCACAACAAUCUCGUCGUCCGGCCGCCGCACUACUACUCCAAGUUCUACUUCAAUUACUAUUCGUAAAAUCAAACAUGAACUAAAAGUAGUGAGAACAAGAGAAUUUACUUACGUCUUUAAUAUCUUGAUCAUUCUGGAAUCCAAAUCUCAGCAUCGUUGCCGCUACAUACACCGCCAAACGGAUUUUCUUCGCGAACUUAAGCGUCGCUUGAGUAACACUUAAUCCUCCAGCGCUAUGUCCAACCAGAAUGAUCUGCAAAAGUUUUCAACGAUCUCUAAAUCAAACAGAACUUCACUCGAUCGCAAUCGAUUGAAGAACGACACAUCCGAAGACGAAAAUGAAAUUACAAGAAGCAACGAAUGUAUAAUAAUAAUAAUAAUAAUAAUAAUAUAAUUACCUGCUCAUUUUCUAUUAAACUAGAGAUGAAAUCGAGCAGAGGCUUAUAGUAAUUGUCUAAUCUAACGACGGAAAUCAGAUCGGAACGAUGGAUUCCACACAGAGAUUAACAAAAAAAAAAAGAAAACGACGAACGUAUAAUAAAAACAUUAAUUACCUGUUCGUUUUCCGGCAAAGUAGAAAUGAAAUCGAGCAGAGGCUGAUUGUAAUCGUCGAAAUUGAAGACGGAAUUCGGAUCAGAGCGAUCGAUUCCAGCGCCUUUGAGAUCAAUACAAGUGACUUUAAAGCCAGAAUUCUCCAUUAAACAUCUGAUUUUGUACCAGCACCAACCUCCUCCACUUAUGCCAUGAACGAGAACGAAGUGCGGCGGAAUCUGCACUGAAACAGAGUUCACUGAACUUGGCGCCAGGUUUUCUUUCUCUCCCAUGGCGGUUCUUCAAAUAUUUACGAAUUGGAAGUAAUGAUUGUAAAUGUGUAUUAUAUAUAUAUAGAGUCUGUGUAGUUGAAGUAGUCCUUGAAAUCAUUAUAAUGUUUUUUCUUUUUUCUUUUUUCUUUUUGUUUAGUCGGACCUUACAAGAUUUAAUUGUUUAUAUUUUAUUCUUACAUUCAGUUCCACUAUGGUUGAAAAAACUAGAGAGUCUUUGAAGGGAAUGGACGGUUGAGAUUUUAAUCAUCGAAACCAAUCACUGUCGCUUGUAUUUGAGCCUACGGUGUGUGCAGCUUCAGGGGAAAAUAUUCUAGAAUCUGUUGUUAAAAAAUUAUGAGAAGUGAUGAAUUAUUUGUAUUAAUUUUUCCUUUAAAAAAGGAGAGAGUUAUUUCUUCCCAUUGAUGAUGUAAUUUUGUUUUAAAGAAUUUCUUUGCCAAGGUCUUAGUUCUUUUUCAGGAUAGAAAUUAGUUAGAAUGAUAAAAAAAGAUUUAGAAAAAAAAUAGUUCAUACACAUAUAUGACAAAAAGUAAUUAGAAAUAUCAAAUAACUUUUAAAAAACUAUAAAAUAAUUAUUCACUUAUAAAUUUGUUAUUUUUGUAAUUUAGAAAAUGUACUAGCAAAUGUAAAAAUUGAGUUGUUCCAGAAAUAGAAUCUUUGAUUUUUACCAUAUAAAAUAUAAAAGUUAUAUUAUUUUUAAUAUUUUGAAGGUUGACUUGUAUAUGAAUUUAUAUAAAAAGUUAAAUAAUUGUUUUUUUAAUAUUCAAAAUUUGAUUUUUGAAAUAAACAAUCAAUGAACAUUUGAAAUUAUUCAUAUAUUAUGUAUAUAUAGAUAGGUAGAGUGUGUGUUGUGUGAUCUUUCUAGUACAACAAAUAAGAUACGAAAUUUAAACCUAACGUUUAAUUUAAGAGAAGUACGUAGUACAUAUCAAUUCAAUUAGUUUGGGUAAAGAAAAAUGGUGUGAUGUGUUGGAGAUUUGAUUGUAAUUUUUUAUAUUUAUCUAUCAACAUUUGUGAUCGUUUUGAGGUUGUUUUAAAUAUAGUUUUGAUAUAUGUUUCAGACUAUCAUUAAUUUUUUUAGAAUAUUUUAUUUUUCUUCUCUGAAUUUGUCGGUUUUCUUAUUUCGUUCAAUAUUUUCCUUUAUUGAGUUGCGACUUAUCUUGUUCAAAUGAGGAUUUUCUGUCUUUCUUAAAUUUGGUUUUAAAAGGAGAAUAAUGGUGAUUUCUUAAGGUUGUUGUUUUUGUUAUUUGAGAAGACAUUUUCUACUUUGUGACCGAAUUAUUCAUCAUUAUGUUAUUUCUCUUUGGUUACUAUAAUCUACCGUCCAAGUUCUUUAUCCCUUGAGUGUGCAACAUGCUGAAGAUAAUUGCAAUCUUAAGGUCGGGAACCUAAGACUCGGUUAUGGAGAAAGCUAAAGAGUUCUCCAUCUUAAGGGAUACUGCUAAGAUUCAUCAACGAGGGAGUUCGCCGACUUCCAAGAGAAGAAAACAACGUUUAGAGGAGUCUCAUCACACACUGACGAAAGUCAAAGUAUACAACACCAAUAUUAUCAAACUUAGAUAUAUAGAGUGUAAGUACCUUUAAGGAGUCUCACAUCUAAGGAAAGUCUAGAUCAGAUCAGUGAAUUAACCUCUACAUGUGAGUUAUUGAGAUAAGUACUCUGUUGUAAACUACUUACUUUUAAUAUUAGUGGAUUAUCUUUUUUUUAGGCACAUACUAUCCCUAAACAUAGGUAGAUUUCACCAAACUAAGUUAUUAGCUUUGGUGUAACGGAUCACUUGUCGAUAUUUUGAAGGCGAACUAAAAGAAAAUAGAAUAAAUAUAAAUUAAAUACGACGACAAAAUAUCCUUUCUUUUCUUAAUAAAAGGAUUCAAUUAAUAUAUUUAUUAUUUUAUUUUCAUCAUUGGAAAAAGUUGUGUAAAGAUGGAAUUACUUAAUUGGGAUAAACUUUUUUGUUUAGGAAAGGAUAAACCAAUCUUAGAUCCAUAUUCACUUAACCAUUUCUAAUAUUGGGAUUUGCAAUUCCUAAAUAGUAUGAAAUUCUUCCAUUUAUUGUGUUAUGUUAAACUAUUUAUAAAAUAUAACAAAAUUCAUUUAUUUCUGUAUGAUCUUUUUAAUAGUAUAAGUGUUAUGUUAGUUGACUCGUUUUCUCUUAGCGGCUUCAUUGCUUUGCUUACGAGGAAGGAAAACUUAAAAUGUAAGCCUAAUGCUUAGUGAGUGACAUUUUAGGAAAAACCUUUUGGAGAAUGCGAGUACAAGCAUAAUAUUAUUUUACAAAAACAACUCAACACUUUAGCACACGUUAAGAACAAUAAAUUAAAUACCAUGUUAGCCUUUAUUUAAUUAAUCAUUUGUAUCUUUGCAGACCCUCGCCCAAUUUCAGUUACUCUUGGAGGUUAGCUCAAAGGCGAACCACUCAAUGCAUACAGUCACCUACUCGCCACUCAUACUUUAACUUGUAAACAAACUUUCAAACGACCAUGUUUUUUUAUAUAAAACAUAAACAAAGUUACACCAUGUAUAUUAUACUAAACAUAACAUGACAUUGAAAGAAAAAUUUAAGAUAAAACUCAUCUUCUUCAAAAGGGUCACCUUUUAAUUCCUUUUUAACGCCUAACUUAACCUAAGUUCUCUACUUCUCGUUUGAUAUUUUCUUGGUAGAGCUUUAACACGAGGUCUCUAUUUAUACUAAUCCUAAAUUGAAUUAGUCAACCUAAAACUUAUCUUAGUUGUCAACUCCUUCUUAGUGUCUUACACAGGGCAGUUUAAUAUCCUUCUUAAUCCAUGCUUAACCUAAGCUUAACACUUAUUUAGCUUAACCAAUCAUUCCGAUUUAACACUUCAUCAACUCCUCCUCACCUCAUAACUAGUUAAGUACUCGUUGCCACCUUCCCUAAUUCUCAACUUCCUUUCUCGUAAGACUAUUCUUUCCCUAGCUCAAGACACGCAACUCUACUUCAGAACGCGGGCUUCACAACAUCGGUUGUUAAUUUGUAUUUUGUAACCAACUUUACACCGUGGAUUGAAACCUCCUUUUUGAUUCUUUUGUUUUUGGUAGAAUUGGCUCUGUUUUUCCAUUUGUCGUUCAUCCCCCACUAAAUAACUCCAAAUUAAACAACUUUCAUUCAUUUCUUGGAACUACUCAUCAAAUAAGAUAAUAUGGACAUUUUGAACGUGGAAGACACAUCAGCAAAAUAGUAGAAAACAAACAGAAUAAUAUUAAUUAUUAAAUGCAAAAAUUACUCAAAAGACUUUUUUUCAAGAAAGAAAAUAAAUAAAAUUGGGAUCCCAUGUUUUGAGAAAAUUUUCGUUUUGUUUUUGUUUGUUUAUGUCCACUUUGGAGGCCCCAACAAAACGUCCCUAUUGAUUUCCUUUCCUUUGUCUCAUUUAUUGUUUGUAUUAAAGAUAAGGAUUUUGGAUUAAAAUAACCAAAUCUCACUCACCUAAUCCCUUUCCUAAUAAUAAUAUUCUUAUUUUAUAUUAUUAAUUCAUUCAUUCCAAUUUAAUACAUUUAAAUAAUGGAUAUUAAACACUCAAUAUAUUUAUUUAUUUUGAUGUUAAAACGUCUAUUUAUUUCCAUAUUUUAUGUUAGAGGAAAAGAUCAAAACGUUUGUUGGUAUUUAUUCGUUUUAAUAAUAAAAGUGAAGUUAUUUUCGAUAUUAUUGUCUUAAUUUUUUUAUUUAUUUUGGUUUUUGGAAUUUUUAUUUAUUUCCUCUCUAGUCCUUAUAAUUUAUGGGUAAACAAAAAAUAAACUACAAUGAGAAAGAUGCUAAAAUAAUUUUGAUGUUAAAAUGUCUAUUUAUUUUUCUUUUUUAGUUUUUAAAAAUUUAGCUUGAUUUUAAAAUGUUACUGUAAAAUAGAUUAAAAUCACUUGGAAUAUAUAAGUAGAGUAGUAAAACUUAAUUUUUAAAAAUUAAAUACUUAUCAACCAUUAAAAUGAGAAAUAUGGUGUGAAACAUCAAAAUGAUCUUAACUUUUUUAAGGAAAAUGGUCAUGAAUUGCAAAAUAUAUAAAUAUUAAAAGGAGAAUUGUCAAAAAUAGAAAAUUUGAUAAAAUAUUUGCAACAUAUAGCAAAAUUUUAUAUUCUAUUCAUAAUAGAUAUUGAUAGAUAAUUAUAUGUUUCUAUUAGUAACAUUGAUAGACAGUAAUAAAAGUCUAUCAAUUUCUAUUAUUGAUAGAAUACAAAAUUUUGCUAUAACUUAUAAAUAUUUUAAUUUAUUUGGAUUUUUAAAAAUGUCAUUUUAUAAAAUAUAGCAAAGAAAUUAAAAGUGCUAUAGAGAGUUUGAUUGAUUUUGCUAUAUAUCGUAAAUAGUUUCAAUAUUUUGCUAAAAACAUAAAGGAGGAACCUCAUAUGGAUUAUUUAUUUUUUGAAAAAAUUAUUUUUUUUUAGCAAUAAGAACAAUAAUAAAGGAAAAAAGAACUUAUGAUGAAAGGUUAGGGAAAUUUUCAAAAAUGAAAAAGAAAAUGACAAAACAUUUGUACACAAACAAAAUAAAUUGCGUAUAAACCAUUUUGGAGUUUAGUGAUAUUAUGCUAUUUAUGUAAAUAUUUUGUAAUUUUUUAUUAUAUUUGAAAAGACCACGAAACAUUAUAGAAAAAGUAAAAUAAGUGAAUGAGAAUGACAUUCUUGGUUAUUAUAAAAUCAAUUAAUUAUGAGAGAAUAAUUCUUAAUUUAGUGUGAUUCUUGGAUUGAAUUGACCACCAUCAUUUGUGAAUUAUAGAACUAAGGAUAAAAAUGUCAAUUAAGGAAGAGGGAAAGAUUAAAAAUAUGAGUUGAUAACGAGAUGAACCUAGUCAACCUCGUCUAAUUAAGCCACGAGACCAAGGUCGAGCCUUUAGGGCAACCCAUUUACCGGAAGCUCGAAGUACUAAGGUUGCAAGGAAAGAAGCCGAGACAAACCUUGGAGUGGGACGGGCUUGAGUUAGGCAAUGUGUCCACACAAAUUUGAUACGAUGUCGAAUCGAGAAAAAAUAGGAAAAAGAGUAAUUAGAAGACAAGAGAGAAAGAAGAUAAGUACGAGAAGAGAAGAAAGAAAAGCAAGGUAAAAGCUAAUCGAGAGACUAAAACUUAGAAUGAGAACCUUGAACUCUUUUUGACACACAUCGAAGCUUGUAUGACCUAUCCUACACCUAUGUGUAGUUUUUCAUUCUUUCGUAGACACACUCACUUUUUCGAAAAAUACAAAAUAUAACCUCCAUUUAAAUUUCGAUUAAAAUUUGACAUCGAGAAUUUUUAUUAUUUUUUAAAACAGUGGAACACAAAUGAAAACAAAUACUAUUUAAUUUUUUAUACUUUUCAUUUUUCCUAUAUAAUAAUAAUAAAUAGGAGUUUUUUUUUUUAAAUAGAAAAAUUAACCAACUAUUUAUUAAAUACUUUAGUAAAAAAAGUUCUAUUUUUGACAAAUUUUUCUAAAUAUAAUAUUUUUUUAAAAAAAUAAUUUCUAACUAUCUGAAAAGCAUAAGAUGCCUUCUUGUGAGUUCGAUUAUUGUUCAAACAAUAUAUCUUUAUAAUAUUUCAACCCCACAUAAUAUGAUAAUAUAUAUAUAUAUUUGCCUAUAAAUCAAUGUUUGUGAUAAAAUGUUGAAAUCCGCAAUAAAAGGAUUAUACUAUAUAUUAUAUUACAAGUGAUUUUCAUAUUUGACUAAUACAAGUAUAGUACAAAUACACAAUAGAAAAUUAUGUCACGUUACAUAAUUUAUGAGUUAAAUUAUUAAAAAAUGUAAAUUUUCAAAAGAUUGAUUAUUGAUUGAGAUUACCAACUAAAAUGAGCUUACUUCAAUAAUUAAAAAGACUUUCAUUUUAUAAGCGGAAAAUUUAUUCGAUUUUUGCAUGUUAAAAUCAUUACUUUGUCAUGCUAAAAAAUUAUUUCUUUAAAAUAUAUUCUCAAUAUAAUUUAAACUCAAUCGUAAACAUCCAUAGCACCUUCAUCUCUUAACCUAGGUAUGCAAAUUGGGUUGUGUCUGUUCUUACUAAUGACACGCACGAACCUUAGAUAAUUAAAUUUUGAUCAAAACAUAUAACUCAACUAAUAACCAUUUUUCAAUAUAAAAGAUUUGCAUCCUAUAUUCUAUAAAAGAAUGUCAACCACGAUAUGAUAUAUUUUAAAAUAGAUAACCUAAGUUGAAGCUAAAGUUUCUUUAGAAAAAAAAUACUAAAAUUAAUUUGCAAAAUACUAUAAGCACACAAUUCAAUAAAAACACAACAAAAAAGAGAGAGAGUUAAUUUUACAAUCAGAUAAUAUUUUCAACAUUAAACGAGAAAUUUGAACCUCAUGUGUUUUAGGUUAAUUAUAAACAUAAUUAAAAGAAAAUGAAGUAUCUCUAUUAUUGUUAAUAAUUUAUUACAUGAUCGUGAUCAAGAAAAGAAAGCUUGAUUAUCGUUUAACUUAAACUUACCUUAAUUUCUAUAUUUGUAUUUAAAAAUAUAAAAACUUCUAUAAUUCACAUAUAAAAAUAGAAUAUGAAGAAUAUAUAUAGGAAUAGUUGUUUUCACGUUAUCUUAAAUGAACAUUAAAUAUGAGUUAGAUAAUCUCUAUAAAUACAUAUUAAAUUAUAGUUUUUUAAACAUUAGGUACCUAUAAAUGCUUGUAAAAACUAAGCCAUAGUUUUAGUAAUUGUAAAUAGAAUGUUACAAACCAAAUUUAAAUUAAAGUAAAUACAAAAUUUAAGUCUGUUCUAACUUAAUUUUUUUUUAAAAAAUCAAUCAUUUUUAUUCAAAUUCUUUAUACAUGUAAAUUUAUUUGGUUGGUUAUACCAAAAGUGCGUUAUCAAAUUACUAUGAAGAUCAACUAUACUACUUUAUAAAUUAAUAAUUUAAAACUCUUAACGUAAAACAUGAUCGUCUAGGCCUAGGGUAUGGUCGUUGCUAGAGUUAAUAGUUGAAGUUGGUUGACGAAAGAUAGAUGCUGUUCGUGAUAUAAAUCAAAGUAUUUUCGUACAAUACUAUAAUAGAUAAAGUGAUGAAAGUUUGUUAAUCAAAUAGCAGAUUAUGAUAGAAUAAUUUAGUGAAAGGGAAAGAAAGUGAAAGGAUAUUUGUGAUGGAAGUGAGAGUAUAUUUGUUUUGGUGUUUGAAAUAGAGAGUAAAGGGAUGGAUAUUAUAAAGGUAGGAGAAGAAAGAAAAAAGGGUAGAGUGGAUAUGUGUGGAUUGGGCAAAGAUAUAAAGGACCAAGGAGGGUCAAUAAUUGGACUAUUAUUAUUAUUAUAAUGCAAUUAAGUAGGGCUUGCCUUUUUUUUCCCCAAUAGCUACUCAUGACUUUGAGCUUUUAAAGUCAUGGAUAUAUCAAUAGUGAACUAAGCCCCUUUUGCUACCUCAAAGGAAAACCAUACUUUGUCCUAACUUUUAGUAGAUUCUUUCCCUCUUUUGCCAUUCCCUUUUUCCUUCCUAUUUAUUAAAAAAUAUAAAUGCCAUCUACAUACCUAGGUAUAUGUGUACGUAGGCAAAGAGGUUCAUAUUUGAAAGUUUUUAACGAUCAAUGCUACAAGAUUAGUUUGUUGUAAGUAUUGAUUACUUUGUAGGUUCUUAAAUGUAGCAAACGUAAUUGAUAACAAAAGCUAGCAUUUGUACGAUCAAUCAAAUGAUUCUUACAUAGACCAAGAAAUAUAGAAAGAGAUUAAUUACGCUUAAAGAUGAAUAUUCCACAAGCUUAAUUUGAAAGGUAAUAUUGACUAGCUAAAAGUUGCGCUUUACAUUUAAAAGAUAAAUAAAAUUCAAAACAACACAUGCAUAAUAUGAUUGUGUAGUGUCCAACUCUAACAAACGUGGAAAGUGAUCUUAAACUAUGACGCAUACAAAAAGUGGCUAUAGAACUUCGUCCCUAGGUUGUAUUAUUUAUCCCUAGGCGUGGUUUGGCUACAUAGGGAUCAUUCGUCCUGACCUCUUUGCUUAAAGUCCAUAUAGUUUGCAAUUCUAGCUAGCUUAACUCUCUAUCCAAUUGCAUAUUCAUAUACCCAUAUAGCUUAUUUCGCUAUUUUUCAUGAACCUCCCUAAAGCUUGUUCUCGUGUCUACAACUUUUGUGCUUUUUCUAUUACUAGGCCUAUCUACUUCAAAGUUUACAUUAUUGCCAACAAAAAAAAAGUUAGCAAAGUAAAGAUAUACAUGACACGAUAUAUACUUUGAGAGGGUGGGAUAAAUGAGUGGCUAAGACGUUAGUUUUAGCUUGUAGUGCGAACCACGAUCAUCGAGGCAACCUUUAUUAUGUGAUUCUUCACUUAAAAAGGGAGAGGAAAAUAAAUUGUGAUAAAGAAGAAAAAGUAGAGCAAAUAAUUUUGGUACAUAAAAGUCUUUUUAAAUGAAAUGAAAAUUUUUAUAUUAUUAAUUUAGAUAUGAUUAAUUACAUUAAAAAUCUAGUUAUAAGAAAUAUAAACUCAACCCAUAUAGUAUAUAUACCACACAUCAUUAUUCCAAACCAACAGCACAUCAAAAAAAAAAAAAAAAAUGUUUGGGUUGAAUUAAAAGAGAAGAUGGUGUCUCGUAUUGGCCAACCAAAAGUUUCAAAAAAUUUACUUUUUUCUAUUUUCUAAAAUUUGAAGAAUACAAAUAUAUUUGAUUGUUGUGAAAGAGAUUAAUUAUUUAACCUUUUAAAUUAAUUUAAACAAUUACAUGGUGCGACUUUAAAUUAAAAACUUAAUUUUAAAAGAAAAAUACAUUCGUAAAAAUUCGGAGAAUAAAAAGUUACAUUUAGACGUUUUGAAAAAUAAUUUAUAUAACGACGACAAUUCCAACAAUUUAAAAUAAUAUAAGAAUUACUUUAUAAACCUUCUAAAGUCGUCAUUCUUAAAAAAUUGAAGAUAUAUCCACUAAAAGUUACAUUAUGAAAUCUUCGCGAUCAAAUGUACGUCUUUUGAAUUAAAUACUUCAAAACGAAAAAAAAGUCUAUUUUAAAAACUCAAAAGAACAAAAACACGCAAUUAUUAUUUAAAGUAAAAAACCAAGAAACUAAUUUUGUCAAGAAAUUUAUUACUUAAAGAAUAAUUACAAAGUAUUGAUAGAUAUAAUAUACUGCAACAUAUGAAGUUUAUCUGUGAGAGUUUAAUCACCGAUAAAAUUUGUUCUAUUUGUUAUUAUUGUUCACUAAAUACCGUUACUUAAAAUUGAGAUUAGUUAUUAUUGAUUAUGGAGAAAGGGAAAUGAGAGUAUAGAGAAAUAAUUAGGGUCAUAUUUAUAGAAAAGAAAUAGAGGGAAGAGAGAGAUGGCCAAGACCACGUUUGGUUGUCUCCAUGAGUGGGUAGCAUUCCACACAUGGCCAUUGCUUAACCAUUUUUCCCCCACUUCUUCUUGUUACCUUCAAAAGAAAGAAAAAACAAACAACGAAAGUAAAAAAAGACGAUUAUUUGCAAAAUAUAACGAAAUUCCAGGUUAUCACUAUAAUAAACUUUUUGUUAGCAAAUAUCGAUAGACAACGAUAGAAGUCUAUCAGUAUCUGUCAAAGAAUCUGAACAUUCACUAUGUUUUGUAAAUGUUUUUCAAUAAUUUAAAAAAGAAAAAUCAUUUCCUUUUACGUAAAAGUUCUGCGAAUCCUUGCCCUUUGAUGUUAUUCUUUCUUUCUUUUCCCUUUCACUCAAACUUCUUUCUUUAUAAUGCAUGAAUCUUUCUCUACGUGGGUUCCUUAUUCUAUUCUAUGCAUCAAACCUCUACUCUCUUUUUAGAAAAUAUGUUAAAGGUAGAAUAAAGUUUCCACUUUUAAUAUAAAUGGGUCUCCUCUUUCUAACGACAAACUUUUCUAAUUUUAUCAACGUAACCAAAUUAUUGAAGUGACGUUUGAUUUUAGAGAUGAAUUAUUUGUUAUAUUUCCACAUUAAAUAUGUUGAGUUUAAAUUCCAAAGUAGAUCAUUGUUUUGUUAACAAAGAUCCACUGUUUUGAAAGUAAAAAUUCCAGUGCAAUUUCAGUACGAAAUUGUUAAUCGUUUGUUGCACUCUUCGAGGUUAAUAGUAAUCCAAGCUAACUCUAGUUGGUUAAAACAAAAACAGAUAGAAUAGAAAAAUAGAUGAGGAAAAUGAUGAACCAAAUUUGGAAACACCAUCCACACUUUAGUUGAUGUAUAUAUAUAGUUAUUAUUGUGAGCCAAACAAUGUGAUCCACUCUAGAAAAUGGUGGUGUUUUGUGGUUUUGGUGAUUAAAAGUUGAAGAUUUACCCAUUUUUGGACAAUUUAGGGGGAGACAUGAAGAUGGUGUAAGAAAGUUUUGAAGGAGUUAAUUAUAAACUUUUUAUAAAAGUGAAAUGCAAGUGAAGGGGUGUGUAGGUGUUAGGAGUAAAUGGAAAAUCAUCAUGGAGUGGAUUCCCAUUCAUUGGACAAACUAGGCAAGACACAUCAAGAUGAAUAAUGUAAGAAAGUUUUUGAAAGAGUGGAAUGCAAAUGAAUAGAUAUAGAUGUCAGGACCAAAUAUAGAUAUUUGCAUCGUGGAUGAAUCCAACGACUAUCUUGGAAGUAAAAAUAGUGUAACUUUAAUGUUAAAUCGUAAGAAAAAUGUUGUUUCUUGAAAAAUAGAAUAACAGGAUGUGACAAAGAAGAAUGUAAAUUUAUAUAUUUUCUCAAAGUAUCGAUUUUUUAAUAGAAAGAGAUAAAUGAUUCUUUGGAUACUUGAACUUGGCCCGUCCUAACUUGACGGACGACAACACUCGUGGGAAAGGUUUCUAUAUCCUUUUUUAAAUUGACAUGCAAGUGUUUGUAUACGAACAACUUUAUCAACUUAAAAUCUUUAGUGUGGGUGUGGUGAUUCAUGCCAUUAAAUGCAUGAUUUUAUAAGCUCUAGCAAUUUGUAAACUUUUAUUAUGGAAAAGGGAUUCGUGCAUGAGUUUGCUUCUGAUUUUAGCUAUAAUCGGUUGAGAUGAGCUCAUUAGGGAUAAUUAUGCUUAGAUAUGCUCUAACUCACUUAUACUUUUAUCAUUCGUACCUAUUGGGUCGAUUAGAUGUGAGACAAACAUUUUUAUUUUUUUCCAUAAAAAAAUACUUGUUAUACGAGUCAAAACACCAAAUCACUCCCAACCAUGGCUAUAUAAUUUUGUAGUUUUUAAUCUUGAUAGAGGUAUUAUAUGACCAACAUGAGCUCAACUCAACAUAUGUAUCUUCCUGAAGACAAAUGGUACGGUCUUAAGUUCAAAUCAUCUCACCCUAAAUUGUACUUAAUAAGACAUUUUUUUUUAAAAAAAAAAGUAGCAUAUAAAUACCUAUAGAAAACCAAAUAAAUUUAGUCUUUUAUAUUAUUUUUCUUUUGUAUAUAUUUCCAAUAUAAGCUAUAUUAAAAUAAUAUUUGAAUGGUUUAAGUUCAAGUUUGCUCCUUCAAUUUUAACAAUAAACUAAUUUCAUUAAAACUUUGUAUUAUAUUUAACCCUCCUUCCCUACCCUACGAAAUUUUCUAUAUUACAUUGAUCAAUAAACUUUUGCAUCUAGGUCGAGGUUAGCAAAGGGUCCAAUGAACUACUAGGUUCAAAUCAGUUUUAAUUCGGGAAGGUGUGAUAUUUAAUCUUUUAAUCUUUUAAUCUUUAAUCAUUUAUUCGAAGAUAAUAUAUAGAACAUUUUAUCGUUAUGAUAUGGUUUUGUGAAAUCAAAGAGAUAGAUUGUUGUCGAUUUUUGUAAAAAAAGAAUGCCGUAGUACAACGACAACAUAAGGCUUUUGAGAAUUCGUAACAAAUGAAAGUUUAGAUGAAAAAAAAAGAAUGGAUAUUUUACCAUUAUUCCAACGUUUUGAAAUGCUUAGGUUUUUACAAACACUUAAUCUAUAGUUAAAUUGAUAAAAUCUUUGUACAACUCACCAAUGACUAAAUUUCUAAAAAAUUGGUAAAUUUUAACUACCCUUAUUGAAAAAUAAGUUUUCUUUUUUGUUAGAUAGUAAAUAAGAACAAUAUUUAUUAUUGAUGUUGAUGAAAAUAUAAUGGCCUUGAUUAUAAGAAAAUUUCAAUGAAAAUAUCGAUUUGGAUUGAUAUUUAUAAAAAAGUUAUAAAAAUAAAAAAUUUAGAAAAAUAAAUUUAAUUAGUAAAUAAACGUUUUAUUAUUUUCAAAUAAGUAAAUAUGUCUGUUAUUUAUAUUAUAUUCAUAUUGUCGACAAAUUUUGAUGUUUAUAAUUUUUUUUAAAACAAAAAAUAGCAAGAUCAAUAGUUUUAAUCUCAAAUUUUAACUACCAUUAUGAAAAUAUAGGAAAAUUGUCAACAAUAACAAAUUUAACAAAAUAUUUAAAAUUUUAUCAAUAAUAGAUAUUAAUAGCCUCUGCUUCUAUCAGUGACAUCGAUGACCAAUGAUAAAAGUCUAUCCAAAAUUUUGAUAUAACUGAUAAAUAUUUUAAUUUAUUUUGAAAUUUUAAAAAAUGUCCAAAAAUAUAUAUUAUUAUUCUUAUUAUUUGUGUUAGAUAUAGUAAAUAAGAAUAUUGGAUCUACCAAAGCCAUAAAUAUUAUCAAAUUUCAUUUCUCUAAAACUAAAGAUUAUGAAAAGAUAUAUUUGUAAAGUUUGAGGGAAUUUUAAAAUUGAAAAUACUUUAGCGCAAAGAACAAAGUCGACGGUCCAUUUUCACAAAUAAAAAAAAGAAGAAGAAGGAGAAGAAACGGUCCAAUCCAAAUGGUAGAGUGGGCCCAGUUUUCCAAAAAAUAGGUAAAAUAAUUGAGGAUUAAUGGCCCAUAUAUCCCUCUUUUUUCAAAACUACCCCAUUUUCCCGCCCACUUUUGUUCCCCUUUACUAUUCCUCUCAUUUUCAAAUUUAAAUUAAACAAAUAAGAAUUUAUCGUUUAAAAAUAUUUACAAAAUGAACGGCGGAUCCAAAAAUUAUAGGUAGGGACACUAUAUAAAAAAAUAGAUGUAGUAGACGAGAUUUAAAUUCAGAACUCUUGAGUUUUAAAGAAACAUAACCACUAUACUAGAGAUAAAAUUUAGCAACAAUAGAACAUUAUUUAAUAUGUAUUAUAUGUAUUGUAAUUUAAUAUUUCAAAACUGAUAUUAAAAUAUAAAAAAUCGAAAAGGUAAGGGACACAUGCCCUUGAUCCGUUUUAGUAAAUCCGUCGGUGUACAAAAUACGAUAAAAUAUAGACUUUUGUUAGUGUCUAUUUUUUUCUUAUUUAAAUUAUUGAUAUGAAAUUUUGUUAUGUAUAGUAAAUAGUCCGUUCAUUUUUUUUUUGUUAUAAUUAAUUUAUUCUUUUAGUCAAUUAUAAAAGUUAGAAAUAUUGAAUUUAUGACGUUUAGAAAUGGAAUUAUUAUUUUGUCUUAAAAGUUUACUUAUGAAUAUUUGUCAUUAAGCUUUUGUACUGAAAACAAAGUAUGCAAAGUCAAAUUUGUAAUUACUUUUAAACAAAGUGCAAUGCAUUUUGUAAAACUUGAUGGAUAAAAUAAUCCUCCACUUUUAUAAUUAUAAUUAUGUUGAACAAAAGUAUAAUUGUCUAAGAUUGAAUGUUUAAUUAUUUAUUUUUAAAUGUCUAUUUAUUGGACUCGUCAUAAUAAUAAAAACUCAUGGUCUCUAAAGAUCGAGGUUAUGUCAAAAUAACUUAGUUAAUCUCACUUUAACUAUAAAAGUAACCAUCUAAUCUUUGAAAAACUAAUUUAUAUUCGUUUAACAACAAUUUGACCAUAAAAGUAAUAGUCUAAACUUUAAAAAUCUAAUUUGUAUUAGUUAAUUAAACUCUAACCUCAAAGUUGAUGGUAAUCUUUUAUGUUAAUUGAAUUGCAAAAAAUCAUUCAUAAAGUACAAUGUUAAUUGCAGUUAUAUAUCUUCAAACUUUAAAUCGUAAGAAUCGAGCUCUCAAACUUAUACAAAUGUUAAAAUUGUAAGAAUUAUAAUGAUUCUAUAAAUUUAAAAGUUUAAUUUUUUAAAUUAAAAAGUUGAAUGUGUAAUUGAAACUACCAUCAUACUUUAGAAGUAGUUUGUGAAAUUUGUCUAAUUUAUAAUUUUGAUGGACACGAUAGACCAAAAAACCGAGCCAACCAACCAAAAACAAGUAAUCAUAAGAUGGUUGAUCAAAGAUAAGAAGAGGUUCGAUUUACAAAAAUCCAAUAUGUUAGAACAACAACCGUGUAUAUUUCUACAAUGGUAUGAUAUUGUUCACUUUGAGUAUACACCCUUAUGGUUUCCUUAUCUAACCAAUGUGAGACUUUAGUCAGAUUCACACAAACCAACAACACAUUUAAAAAAAAAUGUUGAAGUUGAGCUUGACUUUUUUAUCGGAAAGACCGACCCAAACCGACCGAUGUUCGGACUAAAUUUAACAAAGAGUAGAAUAGAGGUGAGAAUAUGAAGAGAGGGAAAAGGGCGGCAAGAUAAGAAGAAGGCAGAAUUUGAAAAAUGGAAUCUUAGUAGUUAUCGUUAUUUCCAUCAUUUUGAUUAUUAAAAGUGUCAUUUAGUUCUCUGUCUUUACUGUUUCUUACUCUUUCAAAAACUUUUCUCAUUGUCCUCUCUACGUUUCUUCCCUCUCAAUCUGCCCCCACUCUCUUCCAAUCAAUCACUCUCCCUUUUCAAUCUUUCUCUCUUCCGAUUCAUCUCCAGAUCUCUCUCAACCUCCUCCAUCCACGUCCAACUUCAUCAGGUACUCCAUCCUCUCAUUUCCCUUUUUCCAUUUUCUUCUAACGAUUUGCUCGUUUCUAUGUGUUGUUUUGGUUUUGAGAUGUGUAGAUUUCCUUGAUGAAAUUCAUUUCUGGUUGUGGUUUUGUUGAUGUGCUUUAUUUUUUGUAAUUUCUUCCAAGGAUUGGUUGAGGUUCGCCUUCUGUGUUGUUUUUGGAGUUAAUGGUUUUGUAAUUGUUUUAAGCUGCGAAAGUUUUUUUUUAUUUGGAUCUUCUUGAUGGAAUUCAUUUCAGAUGUAUGAUCUUGUUGAUGGGUCUACUUAUUUGAUUCUACUGUCUUCUCUACUUUAUAAUUUGUUUCCGAGGAUUGAUUCGCCUUGUGCGUUAUUUUCGAGUAGAUACUUCGAUGAUUGUUUUAAGUUGUGGAGAUUGUUUUUAGUUUUGUUAUUCUUGAUGAAAUUCAUUUCAGACGUGUGAUUUUGUUGAUGUGCUUUCUUCUUUAUACUUUGCUUCAAGGAUUGGUUUGCCUCGUGUGUUGGUUUUGACUAAAUGCUUCGAUGUCUGCUUUAAGCUGCGAAGUUUUCUUUUGGUUUAGAUCUUCUUGUCGAAACUCAUUUCAUAUGUGUGGUAGUAGUACCUCUGAAUUUCUAGCUGUAUUGAUUAGUUUGUACUAUACAUCUAGAAAGAAAUCGUUGGAGCAGAUUUUUGGAUCGGUGCUCGUGUUCGUAAUGGAAAGUCCGGAAUUGAAGAAGCUGAAACCAUUUUGGGAUGAGGCUGGGAUUCAGAACAGAUCUAAAUGGCUUUCAAAUAGUCUUGAAGGUAAGUAAUAUUUAUGAUCGAGUUUACUGAUUCCUUGUUCAACCCUAACGUAAUAACUAAGAAGUUAGGUCACGCAUAACUUACCAAAAUUAUGAAAUUCGAGAAAUUCGAUUGGAUGAUUCAUUCCCAGUCUCUAAAGGAUUAAUGAUCCGCCUAAAAAUCAAAUGAAUUCUAACAUUCUGUUUUUGUCAAAGUGCACUACUUUUUAUUUAUGCACUAUCGAUCAUGCCUAUUAUAAAAGGUCAAUCAAACAUAUAGAUUACAUGGUUCAUUAAGAUAUACAUUUUCAAUACAUUCUUAGCAUUUCCCAAUCCUCAUUUUUAUCACACUUGAUACUUUUUUGAUAAGCAGAGGUAAAUUUUUAUGUGUUUUCGGAUGGGUCGUCAAUCAUUUAAGGGUUGAGGACGUAAAAAUCUCUAUGAAAUUAAUCAGAAAGCCUUUUCUCAUACAGAUAUGAAUCGGAGUGUUGAGCAGAUGCUGAAGACGAUCAAAGAAAAUAGUGAUAGUUUCCCCGAGAGUGUUGAUAUGGAUUCACAAGUUGAGGAGUUCUCCCGGUUGUAUCAAUCAUUGGUUGAAAAUGUGUUAUCACCGGAGCUACAAUUGCAGGUGCCUGUUUAUUCUGAUUGUGGAUCUCCUCAAGGCACACCGGAGUUAAGUUCCGAUCAAAAACAGGGUUUCAAUUUGUCGAGCAAUAGAGGUUUGGAUAUCUCUUUUGAUUCAGGUGGUGGCAGCUCCAGUCUUUCUCUCAAGGAUGGAACUGAAUCUUCUUCUUCUUCUUCUUCAUCGGACUCUGAAUCAGAAUCUUUCAACUCAUCUGUCGACAAUAACUAUGUGGUUUCACGUGCUGAAAGAGAUGGACAAGGUCUGAAGAAAAAACUUCUUGCAAUUGAAUCUGAGCUUCCAAACAUUAAAGGGGGAUUUUGGGUUGGUGAGGAAGUUAAGGUAAAUUAUGAUGAAUUGCAUGACAAAAUCGCUAAGAUCGAGGAAGAACUUAAAGUUUCAAAUGCAAAGCUUCAAUCAUCUGAAAAUGAGGUAACAAGAUUAAAGAGUGAGGUUGAGAAGAAUGAAACAGCAAUUUUGCUAUCAGAAGGAUUGCAAGCCCAACUUGAAUCAGUUGAAAAAGACAAGCAAGUAAUGGAAACUGAACUUCAAGUGAAAAAGAAGAAAAUCGAGCAAUUGGAAACUCGGAUUUCACAAUCUGAUUCAAAGAUUGAAAGAUUGAUUAAAGAUUUAGAAAUCAGCAAAGAAAUGCUCAAAAGUUCAAACGACAAGAUCACAAGGCUUACACAUGAACUGGAGAACACAAAAUCUGACCACCAUAUACAAAUCAAGGAAUUAGAAACUGCUUUCCAAGUUUCACAAGAACGAUUUCAUGCUGAGAAAGAACAAAUGGAGACUGACAUUCUCAGACAAGUUGAAGCUGAGAAAACAGAAACAAAAGCUCUCCACAACUCUCAAUUGACAAUGUAUCAAGGAGAGAUUAGUCAGUUGAAGGAAGAACUUUCCGUAAGAAGCGAAAGUUUAGCUGAUUUGAAUAGGAAUCACGACGAGCUAAAACUAAAGUAUGAUAUGGUAAUGGCUGAGAAAGAUGAGGCGAGCGCCGUGGUUCUUUCACUUUUAGCUGAUAAAGAAUCGAGAGAAUCUCAUGUCAAUGAAUUGAAGGGUCAAUUGAAGCAUUUACAAGUAGACAAGAGGAGGUUGAUUGAAGGAUCUGAAAGGCAGAACAAAGAAAUUGAUGAUUUGAAAUUGAGACUCUCAGAGUUGGGAGAAGAAGUGAAAAUGCAAAAGACUAUGAUAGAGGAUGGGGCAGAAGGGAAAAGAGAAGCCAUAAGGCAGCUCUGUUUCUCGUUGGAGCACUACAGGAAUGGCUAUCAAGAGCUUCGUGAAGCAUUCAUUGCGCACAAACCACGUCCGGUACUCUCUGCAUAGUCCCUUUUGCUUGUUAAAAUCUCCUUGUCUGUUUUUGUGCUCUUUUAUAAGUAUUAUUAUGACGAUAUUGUUUGGGAGUGAUUUUUUACCAUCGUUAAAAUCACCUUUUUUUUUUUUCGUUUAAGAUUGUUAGGACGAUAUUUUACUAUGUAUUUAUCGUAGUUAUUUCCUUUGUUUAUGGAUGCCGUAUCGGUAUGAAUUGCUUCCUAAGCACGCUAUGCAUACUAUAUAUUGAACUAAACUAGUAAACUUGAGGUCAUUAGCUACGGGAAAUACAAUACAUGGUAAAAUUAUCUAGCCUCGCCUCGUAUCUCAAUGGACAUGAAGCUCAAUCAAGUUCGCCUAUAAUUUCCAUUAGCACGAACAGCGAACUACCAAACCAAAACUGACUAAACCAUUGGUUAAGUGGUUCGGUCUUGAGUUCAUAAUGGUUUGGUUUUGUUCAAUAUGUUAUACCUCUCUAUGUAUAGUUGUUUGGGGGACAUGCAAAGUUUUGUUUUACGUAGUAGAAUUGUCCACGUUCACUUUGUAGCCCAAUGACCAAACCAAUUGUUUCAAUGUUUGGAGGUGCAACCCAAUUCACCCAUUUUUGCCAUGAAGGCAAAUGUAAAAUCGCUGAACCCAAUUGAUUGAAUCAUCGGUUAAGUGUUCAUGACGAUUUGAUUUGGUUUAAUUUUUAUAUUUUUGAAGGUAAUAUGGUUUGAUUUUAGUUUAACACAAAACCGAACUAACCCUAACGAGUGUUGUAUCACAAAGGAGUUGAAAUAAAACCAAAACCAAGUAUGGUUAUGGUGGAAUUGAAUGUUACAAACCAAUUAGCUCAUUACUGAAUAAUAUUCUUUGAUACUCUACAAAUAGAUUCACAAAGGAACUCAUACACGAGUUAGACUAAUUGCUAAAUUACAUAAUUUGGGGCAUAAAUUAUGAUGGGUGUCACAUUAAACAUACUUAACAACUUCAAUGGAGUUAACAAUAGCCCAUACUAGCUGGUCAAAUUUUCUUCUUGAAGAGAGAUGAGACUUAGUCUUAGGUUUCUAGUCAAUUUUGAAAAGAAAAGAAACCCUAAAAUCUCUACACCUACAAAAUCAAAACAAUAAAAAUUUUAUAAGCUUAUAUUCUAUAAUUCUUAUGUUCGUCCUCAUGAUCUUGGUCCUUACGUUGGAUGCAAUUUUCACCAAGUUCUAAUAUUCACUUUUUAAAAGCAUUGUUUUGGUCUUAUAUCUAACCCAACAAAGAUAGCACCAAGAUUGCUAUUAAAGAAAUCGGACAAAAAAAAAAAAAAAGUGCUAUUUAAUGACAAUUACAUCAUGACUAUUGUUGAUCUUGAAAUUAGACACAGUAAAAACACACCUGACUUUCACGUGACAACAACAAUAAAUUUAUAAUUUGAGGAAGAGAUAGAUAUAAUUUAGUUUAUAUUCCACAUUUAUUUAUAUUAAUAUUUAGUUUAAUCUAAGGAUAAUUAUUGUAAAUACCAAAACUGUAGAAAUUAUUUUCAUAAUAGAUAUCAAUAGAAAUCUAUAUUUUGGUUGUAUCUCGUUAUUGAGUCUAUGAUACUCUUCAUUGUAACUCAAUAAUGAGUGUUUAGUUGCUUUCAAAAAAUAAAAAAGAAAAGGUAGCUAGGGAAUUUGUUCUGUAACUUUUUUUCUUUUUUUAUUUGUAGGCCAUGUAUUGUUUGAUAAAUUGAGGUAUGUUUUAUGUACUCUAAAAUCAUUACUUAAGACUUUGUGUAAAAUGUUAUUUUAAUAACUUAAUUGGUUAUUUUCUCACCAUUGCAUGUUGAUCAAAAUGUUAGGAUUAAAAAUAAACUUGAUCACUCCAACUAAAACGUAAACGCUUACAUACGUUUUAGUUUGAAUGAGUUUAAUUAUCAUUAAAACUAGCCUAUUUUAUUUAAUUGGAUAGUAUUAUAACACGAUGUAAGAUAUGUCCAUACAUACAUUGAAUAUAGCAUAUAAUUUAUCUUUUUCUCAACCAAAACCAAAUCAUUGGAUGAAAAUGAGAGAAUCUUUUUUAGGGAACAAAUUAUUAUAUAUAAAAUAUGAGUUUAAGAUUCUAUACCUUAAUUCCUCCACGAGGUUCCAUUUUCUAAUAUUUUCAAGAACUUCCACAAUAACAUGAAAAUAAGAUAAUCGGCAUAUCAAUUAGCUUCGGUUCAUGUUACUAUCGAAGCUCUUAAAAGAAGAAGAAGAAGAAAACGUGUCUUCACUAUCUUCUCUUGUUGGUUUUGUUUUUAGACUAUGUUUGGAUCAAGAGAAUGGAGAGACACGUCUACCUUAAUAUACUUCAACGAGGUUCCAUCUCCAAAACGUUUUCUAAUAUUUCCCAAGAGCUCCCACAAUAACAUGAAGAAAAGAUAACCGAUAUUGAUUAGCUUCACUUCAUGUUGUUAUGGCAGCUCUUAAAAAGAGGAAAAAAAUGUGUCUUCACUUCAUGUUCUUCAUUGUUUUUAGACCAUGUUGGCAUUAAGACGAGAAUGGAGAUACUUCUACCUUAAUACUUCCACAAGCUUCGAUACAUCUUUAACAUUUUUCUAAUAAUUCCAAGAACUCCCGCAAUAACAUGAAGAAAAGAUAACCGGUAUCGAUAUCGAUUAGCUUCACUUCAUGUUAUUAUGGCAGUUCUUUCAAAAGAAAAAAGAAAAUUAUAGAAAAUGUGUCUUUCACUAUACCUUCUCUUGUUGGUUUGUCAUUUAAACCAAGUUGGGAUUAAGAGGAUGAGAAGGAAUGGUAUAUGAAAGCCCCUUUGUUUGCUUCAAGGGUUUGUGUGUUAAAUGAGAUAAUGUGGAAAUAAAGAGUUCCCAUGUCUUUUAUAUAUUGCAUUUAGGGGUAUUUUAGACCUUAAAAACGUACGGAUUUUUAAAAAGUACCAUUUGAGCCGACUUGAUUUUAACCACAAAUUUCUUAGUUCAUACAUAUUGAUUGAACUGACGGCUGUAGGUGAGAGUAGAGUUUUUUUUUUUUUUUUUUCUUCAAUUGGCACUUUGAUCUUCUCCUCUUUUAUUUUUUUCUUAAUUUUGUUUUUUCGUUUACAUCUUAGGUUUGGUUUUGAUAUUAUUACGAGGUAAUUUAAAGGGAAAUUUUUAAAAAUAACAAAAUAAAUUAAAAUAUUUACAAGCUAUAGCAAAAUUUGAAUUCUAUCAAUGAUAAUCAUCGAUAGACUCCUAUUACUAGUGACUAUCAAUGUCUAUUAUUGAUAGAAUCUAAAAAUUUUGCUAUAUGUUGUAAAUAUUUUGUCAAAUUUGCUAUUUCUGACAAUUUUCUUAGUUUUUUAAAUAUAGCAAAAUUUUAGAGUCUAUUAAUGAUAGAUACUAGUAGACUCAAAAUAUAUUAAUGUCUGCCCUUGAUAAAUUUUAAAUUUUACUAUAUUUUAUAAAUAUUUUAGUUCAUUUUUUUUUUAUAUAUUUGAAAAUAACAUGUUUUAAUUCAACUUUACCGUUUACCAUUUUAGUUUUUCUCAUGUCAUAGCUUUAACCAAAAUCGAACUGUCCUUAUGAUUUAAAUAUUUUCUCGAUUUAUUAAAAGGGAUGAUUAUUUAUUUAUUUAUUUUUAAAGUUUUAGAUUUAAAUAGUUAUCAAAUAAAACUUAAUUUAGUUUGAGAUUGUCGUAGCUUUUAAAAUAAUCAUUGACAAUUGUUUUUUUUAAAAAAGUUGUUCGUGAAAUGAAGUAAAUUAUUGUUUGAUAAAUUUUAGCGUACAUGCAAGUUAUAGUGUUUGAUAAAUAAAUACCAUAACAUCUUUCUUUAGAUAAUGAUAACUAAAAUAAUUUUUUUUUAUUUUUUUUAUUUUUCAUCAUUCCUAACCCUAAAUAGUUGUUUAGAAUGAUAUAUUUUGUUUAUAUAUAUGAAAAAUUUAGGAAAAUUAUCAAAAAUAGCAAAUUUGAUCGAAUCUUAUUUUGGAAAGAUAAAAUUGAAAAUUACAUGUCAAUUAAAAAUUUUAUAUGAUUUUAGGAGAGAAUCUAAAAGUUAGUAUAAUUUCAUUUUAAAAAUAGAAGUGAAAUGAGCAUGUUUAUUUAAAAGUGAAUUUAACAAAUUUAAUAAUCUAUUUUGUCAAAGCAUACAAAAAGUUAUUAAGAUCUUUUUCUUUUUUUACCAUUUCUAUCCAUUUUCUAAAAAAAUAAAAAUAAUUUUAAACGUACAAUACAAUUACGAACUCAAGUCUGUGCUUUUAUCCCUCUUUAGACUAACAAAAAAAGGAAGAAAAGUACCCAUAGGACAUAAUCACAUGUUAAAAAGAAAAUUAAGAUGUCAAAAGGUAUUGGAUGCUUAGUCCUUCAUCUUUACUAUAAAGCACUAAAAGUAAUUCUAACUAAUACCUUUGAUCCAUAGUUUCACUAUAAACCACCACCAAAAGUAAUUUUACUUAAUACAUUUCAUUCAUAGUUUGAAGAUAUUUUAUAGUCAUUUCAACUAUAAACAUAGGAAUAGUUGAAUAUAAGUAAUUAAAUUCAUACUAUAUCAAUUAUAGAUUUUGUUAUAUUUACAAUUUUUUUGUUGCUAUAGUUUUAAUUAUUAUCUCCAAAAUUCUUAUUCGAUACAAUGUACCUUAGGUGGACAUCAUCAAUCCAGAUAGAAAAAGUAAACACCCAUUUGGAUAAUCCAAUUAAUUUAUUUUGCAACAUGAGAUAUAUGGUAAUUAUAAUGGACAACAAUUUUAAGAUAAACUAAUUUGCAUAGUAUCGCUUAACAUGAUCUAUGAUCAAUGGAAGACUCCUGUGGUUGAGUGACUCUAACAAACUUUGUUAUAUUUGUAAUUUUUUUUAAAAAAAGUUGUUAUAUAUAUCAAUAUUUUGAAUCUAGCUAAUUUUUAUCGUUGCGAUUCUUCUUUGGAACAAUAGAUUUAGCAAAAUAAAUUAAAAUAUUUACAAGCUAUAUAGCAAAAUUUUGGGAUUCUAUCAAUGAUAGAAAUUGAUAGACUUUUAUCACAGAUUAUCAAUGCUAUUGAUAGAAGAAUGUCACUGCUAUCAAAUGUUUGUUAUUGAUAGAAUCUAAAAUUUUGUUAUAGUUUAUUGUAAUUAUUUGGUCAAAUUUACUAUUUUUACAAUUUCUCUUUAUUAUAUUCUACGUCCUAUAUUAACUUCUUUACCACAUUGUUUUUUUUUUUAGUAAAAUAGGUUAAAUUAACUUUUGUACAAUGGAAUUAGGGAUUAAAUUUAAAUUAAACUUUAAUUUUAAAUAAAAAAUACAUGUUAAUUACUAUUGAAUUAUGCUCAUUUUGAAUGUUGAUGUAUUUGUAUUGUUUGUUCUUUACUCCUUCUGAAGAUAAUGUAUAUAUUUACAGUGACAUAUUGUUUUUUGUAUAACUAAGUGGAUAUAAGAAUUUGAACCAUCGACCUCAAGUAAAAAAAUACACGUCGAUUAUCUUUGAGGUUUUGAAAGAUGAUAGUUGGAUAAAUACUACGAACUUAAAUAUUCUCUUGACACAAAAUUCAAAAUCAAAGUGAUCAAAGGUUUUAACUCAACGAACAUCUGUUGUACCUAAAAACAUAGAGGUCAAGAGUUCACAAAUCUUCAUCCACGUUUAUAUACUUAAAAAAACUUCUAUCAAUGAUAGGCGACACUUAGAACUGCUUAGUGAAAUAUAAAUGUUAAAGUUCCAAAGUGAAAUAUAAAUGUUAAAGUUCGAAAUUUGAGGGAGUUGAAAAAAGGGGAAAGAAAAUUUUCUUUAGUACCUUUAUUCCAUGGUUCAUCAAAAGCAGACAUAUAUCACAAGUUCAAAAUUAAAGAUAUGAUGUCAAAUGCAUCAGAUGCUCUGUCCUUAGCUUGUAAAGAAGAAGAAAGCACGAAAAGAAAUUUUAUUUAAUAUCUUUAUUCCAUAGUUAUAAGAUACUAACAUUUCCAGAUUGGACAUUCGAAACUUUAACCUCUCCACGAAGGUCAGGUCGUGUUAAGUACCGUUUAGUUUUGAAUAGCAGUAGACCUAUUAAUUUAUUUUGCAAUAUGGGAUGAUCAUGGGGUUCUGUUUUGUUAAUUGAACACUACCUUAUGUGACAUAUUGUUUUUAUGUUUAAACCUAUAUGUUAUUCUCAUCUGUGAAAUAAUAAGAAGUUCACUUCAAUCGUAUUAUAAUUCUUAUUAACUUCUUUAACUAUAUGUAGUUUUUAAUAAUAUACGUUCAAUAUGAGAAUUUGGACCUUCGAUGUCAACAUAGUUUUACUGUUUGUCCAUGUUUAUGGGAUGAUAAAUAUGUAUUAGUACAAAUGUAUUCAUUAACGUUUGAUUUAGGGUUUAGGGUUUAGGAUCAAUAUCGUUUGAGAAGUGAUUUAUGAAAUAAAAACGUUAAUGCAGUGCAAAAUUUUAGAGAAUAAUCAAUAUUUUAAAAGCUAUGAUUCCAAAGGCAUUGGAUUCUGUGUCCAAUAUGUACUAAAAGAAUCAAAAGUCAAUUAAUAGCUUUGAACAUAUAUACUUUCCAACUUCAUGACUCUUUCAAGGUUUUAGAUGUUUGGUAUGAUUUAGUAUCUUGUAUGUAUGUGAAGAUCAUCAAUAAUUAAAAUGAGGGUUAUUUGAAUAGUAAUCCAAUCCAUUUAUAUAUCUUAUUCAAUAAGAGAUCGUUUGGGUGUUCUAUACUACCGAAAAACAGAGAAAAAUGUAUAUCUUCUGACGCAUAAGAUACUUUUUCGAUGACAGUUUUGCGCUUCGAAACAUCGGCGGAUUUGGUAUAGGCCUAGGGAGCUCCCUCAACUUUAUUGUCUUUAUAUAAAUAAUAAUAAUAGAUAAAUAAAUAAAAUAGUCCACAUGAAGCUAUCCAUUUACGUAUAUUAAGUAAGUGCAAUGGGUAGCACUUUUAGGGAUAAAAACUAUGUGCGUAUAUCAACAUUUUUUAAAAAUUACAAAAAAUAUAAUAGUGCUAUAUAACAAAUCACUUGGGUGUUCAUUUGGGAGGCAAGCCCACAUCUAAAAUUUUUUGGGAUAAUAUCACUGAAAAAAUCAACAAAAACCUCAGCAACUGGAAAUACUCUUACAUCUCCAAAGGUGGCAAAUUGACCCUCAUCAAUACAACCCUCGAAAGUCUUCCCACAUAUCAGUUAUCUACUUUUAAGGCUCCUAUUGGUGUAUGUAAAAAUAUUGAGAAAAUAUGGAGGAACUUCUCAUGGAAAAAUCCCAAAGAAGACAAUAAUUAUCAUCUCUUAAAAUGGACAAAAGUUACAGCUCCAAAAGACAAAGGGGGUUUAGGUAUCAACAAGAUCACUGACACAAAUUUUGCUUUGCUAAGCAAAUGACUUUGGCGUUUCACCUCCGAAAAUCAACCUCUAUGGAAAAACCUAAUCUCUGCCAAAUACACAAUGGACAAUAUCAGUGGAUUUCAUACAAAAGGAAAAUACAGCAGCUUAAAGGCGCCUUGGAGAUCCAUUAUCAAAGGGAUUGACUGGUCCUCGGCAAAUGUCAAAUGGCAACUCAACAAUGGAGAUAAAAUUUCCUUCUAGAAUGACUCUUGGAAUGAAAAUUUCCCGCUCUCUCUAUACAAACCUCGUCUCUUCGACCUCUCAAAUCUCCAAAAUGGAAAUGUGAAAGAUAUGUGGAAUCGACAACUUCAUGAAUGGGAUAUACACCCUGGAAGAUCACUAAUGAGCAUUGAAAUACAACAAUGGUCGGAAUUGAAAUCCUUGCUUCCUUCUCUAAAUUCAUCUCAAGGUACUGACAUGCCAAAAUGGAAGUUGAAUGACGAUGGGCAGUUCACAAUUGCUUCCACAAAAGAAAAAAGUCAUCCACAUUAUGGACCAAAGAGAUGAAAAUAACAUCAACUCAAACACCUUUAAAAAUUUAUGGAAGACUGGAAUUCCGAAGAAGUGUAAGUUUUGCUUAUGGACAAUCUUGCAUAAUUGUAUCAAUACUGCUGAGAAGCUCCAAAUUGUUGCCUAAAUCCAAAUUGGUGCUACCUUUGUAAAAAGCAUUCAGAAGACAUCAAUCAUAUAUUCAUCAAUUGUGAUGUCACGAAGGUGAUUUGGGAAAAAAUAAAAAAUCUGACCAAUUGGCAUAACCAUUUCACUAAUAUUCAUUGUGCCAAAACAUAUGCAGCACAAAUCGAAAAAGCAAAAAAGGCAUCAUCAUUUUCAAAAUUGCUGCUGCGUUAUGGAUCAUAUGACUGGAGAGAAAUAAAAGGAUAUUCCAAAAUAAGGAUAGACUACUCAAAAUAUUUGGGAAGAUGUCAAAAAGCUCACAUGUUUAUGGGCUAGUAGAUCUUAUUUCUUUAAAAAUUAUCACGCUAGCACUAUUGUUUUGAAUUUAAAUGCUUUUGUAUAACUACCGGGUUUGUCUCUGGCCCUUGUACUCUUCCGCUUCUUAUUCUAAUGAAGCGGGUAAGAUGAGGGUGCUAAGAGGAUGUCCACCUAACGAAGAUGUCCGGGUGCACCUGUUGACCCAUCGUAUUUUUUUUUUAAAAAAAAGAGUUUUUGUCCUCUAGUGACUUUUUUUCCAUAAAAUGUAAAUAAUUUGUAUUUUUUAUUAUUCUUGAAAAAACACCCGUGGAUGAACCAUCUUAAGAAUUUUUUUUUUUUAAAAGGACGGCGUUUGCAAAAAUAGCAAAAAAAAAUUAUGAUAAUAUGAUCCAUGUCACUACAUUUUUUAGAGGAAUAGUUGCAAAUUUAGCAAUUAAAUUCAAAUUAAUUAAGUAUAUAGCACAAUUUUAAAAAAUUUGCUAAUAUAGCAAAAUUUGUCAAAUUCUAUCAAUGAUAUAAGUCUAUCACUUAUAGAUCAUGUUGCAAAUAUUGGUAUAUCACUGAUAUACCAUAUGAAGUGUAUCAGCGAUACAAGUCUAUCAGUGAUAGUUUUGCUAUAUUUGCAAAUUUUUUAAAAUGUUGCUGUAUCCUUAAUUAUUAUUGCUAAAAUAAUCAUUCAUUGCAAUUUUCCUUCUUUAAAUUGCAAAAAUAAAAAAUUUAAAAGAUUAUAGCCUUCCAAUAGCUGAUAUAUAUAUUUAAUUACAUGUUUUAUUUUUCAUAUUUUCAAUAUGUAAAAAAAACGUGCUAUCAGCUGCUUUUUUUUUUAAUUUUUAUGUCAUUAAUGUAAUUUUCUUUUUUUUUAAAAAAAGUGUCAAAUGGCAUGUUUCUAUUGGAUGAUAUAGUCAGGUAACACAAAAGGUAAAUGUAGUUCGAUGCACCUAAGUUUUUCGACCCUACAAAAUAUAGGGUAUAAAUUGUGACCCAUUCCAAUUUUUAUAUAAACAAAAACCAUGCUAUAAAAUGUAAAGGCAUUGGCAAAGAACCAACCCAUUAAAUGUAUAGGAAACUUACAAAUUCGACUUCUUAUAUAGAUUCUUCAACCUCUCUCAACACAUGCUCUCAAUCUUAAUUAAAGAUAUUAAAGAGAAGAUGAUUUGUUAUAAUUAAUAUAAGCCCAAAGAAUAUUCAUAAUUAAGGAAGAAAUGUGUGUUUAUAUGCGUUCACUCCAAGUUUUUCCUACAAGAACUUGAACUUGAGUGCUAAAACAACGUUGCAAUUACAAAAUUAUUUGAAGAAUUUAUGAAGACUAAAAAAAAAAACAAAAAAAGAAUGUUCAAAAUUUUGGUUAUUCAUGGGGUCAUCGUCUUUCAUGAAGUGGUUGCAGCAGGUGAUUGAGCUUUGGGAGCAAGCGGAGAACAAAUAGGAGGGUUUUGUUUUCCAGUAAUAGUGGGCUUCACAUUUGCGCAUACAGAAGUAAUGGGACCUUCGUUCCCAGUGUAUGUGAGGUCAAUGUCAGCUAACUCCACACCUUCACAUGGAUUACUUGAACUACACACAAGAGUUACUGCCUGUGCAUUUCCAGAAGUACCUCUGAUAUUCUUGAAACUCACCUUGCUGAUCUUCACUUUAGAUGGUAUCUGAAAGAAAAACCAAGAAACAAGGCAUGAGUUUUGGUUGAAACAAAUAAGGAUCAAGUACUACUGUUGUUGCAUAACCAGCCCUGAUGAUCAUCACGAUCAGUACCUGUUUAUUGCAUUUGUUAUAUGGACAAUAUUCUUGAUCUAUCAUAAUGGGAUUCGAGACAUUAUUCAUAACUAUAUCUUCAUAAUGCAUGUCCGAAGCUACUCCAGCAGCAGGUGAAGCUGGCCAUGUUUUAAUUCUUAACCCACUUGUUGUACCAGUUAUCGUACAAUUCUUAACUUGAAGUCCCUCAACUGGUUCUUCAGCAUUAUACCUUCCUAGACUUCCUACGCUUAUGCCAUGUCCAGGCCCACAUGUCACAUUUGUGAUUGUUACUUGUUUGCUUCCAUCUCCAAGUGAGAUGCAAUCGUCUCCAGUACCGAUGUUUGAGUUUAAUAUAUUAAUUCCAACACAACGCCCGAGGUGAAUUCCAUCAGUGUUAAUGCUAGUUCCUGGUGCAUUUACAUUUACGUUUUGGAGGGUAAAGUUAUUGCACCCGAGUACUUGGAUAUGGAAGUUCUUGCUAUCUUUAGAGGUUAUGCCACUCACAACUGAAUUCUUUAUAAAGCUGAACUUCAAACUCUGUAUAUUUCAACAACAAAAAAAAGUCACUAGUUAACAUACAUACAUACAUUCAUACGUAUUAUUUAGUCUUUGAAAAGAUCAAGAACUAUAUAUGAAUCAAAAUUAAUUAGUAAGAAAUUAGGCGUGGUUAAAUUAUUAAGUUGAUCAUUAAAGUACUACUGUGCUUUACCAUGGGCAUUGGUGCACAUUUUGGGUUUUUAUGACAAUCGUUGCUUUCCCAAGUUUUUUUCCUUGCCCAUCAAAAACUCCACCUCCUGAUACUGACAAAUCAUUGACAUACUUGAAAUGAACCCAAUCUUCACCUUUUAGAUCUGGUGGUGCUAGCAAUGUUGCUUGUACUUGCAUUUCGAUGGGAGUACUUGUGCAUUCACCUUUUAACUCAAUUGCACCUAAGGUGUAAGUCCCGCUAGGAAUAAUUACUUUACUUGGACCCGCUGAUGCACAAGCUUCCUUCCAUGCAGUUGCCAAAGCCUGUUUAAAUUAAAAUCUCAAACAUAAUCAGCCGCGCACGAUCCAUCAUUGAACGAUGAUAUAUAUAUAUCAUUUGAUUUUUACCUGAGUGAUAUCAGCAUUGGGUUUAGCACCGUACUUUGUCACAUCAAAAACGCCACCAGCACCACCACUAGAAUUGGCGGCGGCAGUAGGUUGGACGGUGGCACCACCACUAGAAUUGGCGGCGGCAGUAGGUUGGACGGUGGCACCACCAGGCUGGGCAGCGGCACCACCAGGUUGGGUGGCGGCACCAGUACUAGAUUGGGCAGUCGCGAUGGAAACAUAUAAUAGUAGGAUGAAGGCGAUGAGAGCAGUGAUGAUGUUGAAGUUGAUUAUACUCAUCUUGUUGUUGUUGUUGUUGUUCUUCUUCUUCUUCUUAGAUCCUUAUAUGAUUCUUAAUUAUAUGAUCUGUUGUGUUCUUGAGAAGUGGGUAUUUAUAAAGUAAUUAGGGAGUAAUCAAAUACCAUUCAAAAUUAGUUUCUAUUAUUAGCUUUCUCCAUUACCCCAAUUAUGCAUAACUAAUUUUGUGCUAACUUUGUCAAAACUAUACCAAUCUAUUUGGUGUCUAAGAUUAAUUGCCAUUUCCCUUCACCAAAAUUUACUCCAUAAAUUUCUCUUAUAUUAUCACUCGUUCAAAAGUGUUUCUUUCAUUGGUUGAAAUUAUUAGUUCAUUGCCUUAAUCUUAUAUUUUUUAAACCUAAUUAAUCUCUAAUCAGCCACUUGGUUUGAAGUAGGAAUGGGGCCAUGCAUGAUUUAAAUAACUCGUAUUCGAGUUCUAUUUCUCUAGAUAAAAUAAUUAGGUAGGUUGGGGAUACUUUCCCCAAUGCAGAUCACAUCAACGACAAGGAAAUGUUUGUCGGCACAUGCUGUCAGCAUGUUGUGAAAACCUGUACAUACAUAUAAAUUUGUAUUAGAGAGAAAACAUUAAAGGGUAAAUAUUAGAAAUGGAUAGUAGCAAAUUUAGCAAUUAGAUUCAAAAUAAUUAAGUAUAUAGCAACAUUUUUUAAAAAUUGCAAAUAUAGCAAAAUUUGUCAAAUAAUAUCAAUGAUAUAAGUCUAUCACCGAUAGACCAUGUUGCAAAUAUUGGUCUAUCACUGAUAGAUCAUACGAAAUCUAUCAACGAUACAAGUCUACUAGUGAUAGUUUUGUUAUAUUUGCAAUUUUUUUAAAAUUUUGUUAUAUCCUUAAUUAUUAUUGUUGAAAUGGUUAUCAAUUGUAAUUUCCUUAUUAGAAAUUGUAUCCACCAUACAAAUCAAUAUAAAAAAUUCAAUUCUACGAAUUAUAUUUCUUUGGAAAUCUCAUGUGAACACUUGGCAUUUGUAUGUCCUUUCUUUUUUAUCAACUUUCUUCACCUCUUCUCCAUUUAUUCUUCUUUUAUAUUUUUUAAUAGUCAUUAUCUUUGUUUUCAAUCAAUUAUAAAUCUUGUAUUUUUUCUCAAAAUGUUAUUUGGUUCAAGAUCGGAACAAAAAUAGUUGAAUAUUGGUUUAGAUUUGGUGUAACAAAUAUAAAAUAUAUUGAAAAAAAUUGUUGGAAUAUUGGUACACGAUCAUUUAGAUUUUGUAAACAUGUAACACCUGCUUGUCUUAAAGGCUUAUUAGAGUAUAAGUGUUCCCACAAACCAACAUGGGUCAUUUGGAAAAAAUCCAUAGGUCAUCUAAUAUACAAUAGUUUCAAGUUAAGUACGCUUAAACUUUGGAUCAAUUUCUAUGAUCAAGCCACUAAAAAGAAAGAUGUAACCUUGUGAUACCUAACUUUUCAAUUCUUUUAAAUCUUUCGUACACUACAAGAAAAAUCAUCUACUACGACAGUUAUUUAUAUCACAAAAUGGAGGGAGGAAAAAAACUGUCACAAAAUGUAAAAAACGUGUUUUUGGCGGGAAAAGACAGAAUUUUUUUAAUAAUACUUUUCGCGACAGUUAUUUGAUAUCAUAGAAGAUAAAUAAAAUAAUUUAUUAAAAUAAAAUUAAUUUUAAAUAAAAAUUAAAGUUAAUUAAAGUUUUUCCCUCAAAUCCUCACACAAAUCUCCAAAUCUAAAAGCCUAAAAUCUUAAAAUUUUUCAAAAUCCUCACGCAAAGAAGGUCAUCUCCAGACGACUCCUGAUCUUGCCACUGUCCGCUCAUGCCCGUCUCUUCACUCCAGCGUCGUCACAACCUCAUCUACGAACGAUGAAACCUCCUCUGCCGGUAAGUCGUCUGUUCCUUCUUCCUUUCUCUCUCUUGGAAGGACAAUAUGGAGAUGAUGAUGCAAUCCAGUCGAUCGAUCUUGCUUCCAAAUGUCUCCAAUACGAAGCAAGAUAUCGAUCCGAUAUAAAAUUCGUUCUUUCAGCAGUGACAUCACUUCAAAAAUAGGAGGUAAACAUUUUACACUCAUACAUAUUAAUCAUCUUAAAAAAGAUAGUGUCUACUCAUGUAUUUUAUACAGUUUAUUUGGACGGAGCAUAUAUCAAUGAAAUGAUGCUGAGAGGUAUGAUUUUCUUAUUCAAAAUAUGUCAUUUUCAUCAUUUUUUUGGUUGAGUAAAACGUUUGCUUCUAGAAGGGUAUGAAGUCUUUUUCUAUGUUCAAAAUAUACUUGCUCUUUUAUUCUCAUGACAUUAUCUGUUAAUACGUGAUUAGGACUAAUUAUGUGUGCGUUGAAAAUUUUAGGAUGUUGUUGUGAAGAUUCUGAUGGAAGAAGAUCUUCAUGCAAAACGGUUUGAUGAGUUUCUUAGGAGGUACAUGUCCAAAUUUUUAACCCCAUAAUAUUUUGAAGCCAAUUUUGGAACAAUGUGCUCUACUUGCAAGUAACCAUUCAGUAGGUCCAAUCACUUUUAUGCAUUUCUAGGUUGCCAUAAUGAAAUGUCUAUGACGUCCAAACAUCACUCUCUUUAUGGGUGCAGUCACAGAGCCUUCAAACUUGUCCAUGGUAACAGAAUACUCUUCUUUCGUCAUCUUUGUCAUAGAUUAUUGUUGAAACAACUAGUUACUAUGGAUUGCUAUGGUGCUACUCUACCACAUCACGGUAUAGUCUCAUCUUUCUUUGUGGCUUUUCCUUGACUUUGAAGAAUAGACAUGUAAAUUUAUUUCAAGGAUGCAAUGCUUUUCUUCCAAAAUUAUAUAUAAUGGACAUACAUACUGGAAAUUAUGUGUAUAAAUUUGGUUAUUAUGUAAAACUGUUAACUAUACAAUUGUACAUCUUUUUUUCAGAUUGAAACUCAUGACUACAUGACUAUGGAUCAAGCAACAAAAAAUAUUUUCAGAGGUGAAGGAUUAUCGGUUAAUUGUUUAUGCUUGUACAAAAAAUCAUGUUAUAUGUAUUAUGAUGUAUUUACACUGGUUUUGAUUAAAGGUUGUAAUUUCAUACUUGUAAAUUGUUCAAACUUGAUUGAAAAUGUACGAAUGUUGCAAAGUGUAUUAUAGUGUAUAUAUAUUAAAGUGUCGACCAUUUUUUUCUACAUGGGUGUUAUGUAUUAUAACAUUAUUAUCAUUCAAACGGUUCGUGUAAUGGCGGAGUGACAAAAAGAAUAGGGAAAACGGUAGUAAUUGAGAAAUUUGCAACAUAAAAUAAAUGUCAUAAUAUAUUAAUUCAUUACACUCCAUAAUUUUUUUAAAUGCAAAUGAUGACAGUUAUUUGUUGCAUAAAAUAGUAAUUAACGACAUUUAUUUUCUGUCAUGAAAAAACUUGUUGUGACAGUUUUUUAAAACUGUCAUGGAAAGUCCUUCAACUCAGAACUCUCUCAUUCAUAUUUGAUAAAACUGUCAUUGAAGGACUUUCCAUGACUUCCAAUACUAUAACUGUAAAUAACUGUCACGAAUUAUUCGUAACAGAAAAUAACUGUGGUCGUAUACCAUUUUUGUUGUACUAAUAUUACUUUUAAAUCAUCAGGAUCCCUCUCAUUCAUAUUUGAUAUUUGUUCAUUCACAUCCCUCUCUUACACUCAGGACCUUACAAGAGAUGAGUAGACUAAAAUUUUCUUUUUUUAUAAAUUGUGUGCAAACUUUAAUCGAAAAUUUACAAUAAAAAGAAAAAAUUAAUAGGUAAAAUUAAAUUACUAAUCCUAAAAAAGUAAAUAAUAUUUUUUGGAAAAAUAUAAAAUAAAUAAAGCUAAAAACAAAAUGUACAAAUACAAUAAUUUUCUUUUCAAAUACACCGUAUGAUUUUUUAGUAGACAGUAAUAAGUUUGUAGAUUCUCAAUGUCUCAUUUUGGUAUGAAUUAAUGUUACGUUUACAAAUAAUGAAAGUGUUUUUGAACAUAUGUUCGUGUGAGUAUUACAUAUCAUCCAAAACUACUUCUAGUCUUCUACCUAAUUAUUUUAUCUAGAGAAAUAGAACUCGAAUACGAGUUAUUUAAAUCAUGCAUGGCCCCAUUCCUACUUCAAACCAAGUGGCUGAUUAGAGAUUAAUUAGGUUUAAAAAAUAUAAGAUUAAGGCAAUGAACUAAUAAAUUUCAACCAAUGAAAGAAACACUUUUGAACGAGUGAUAAUAUAAGAGAAAUUUAUGGAGUAAAUUUUGGUGAAGGGAAAUGGCAAUUAAUCUUAGACACCAAAUAGAUUGGUAUAGUUUUGACAAAAGUUAGCACAAAAUUAGUUAUGCAUAAUUGGGGUAAUGGAGAAAGCUAAUAAUAGAAACUAAUUUUGAAUGGUAUUUGAUUACUCCCUAAUUACUUUAUAAAUACCCACUUCUCAAGAACACAACAGAUCAUAUAAAUUAAGAAUCAUAUAAGGAUCUAAGAAGAAGAAGAAGAAACAACAACAACAAACAACAAGAUGAGUAUAAUCAACUUCAACAUCAUCACUGCUCUCAUCGCCUUCAUCCUACUAUUAUAUGUUUCCAUCGCGACUGCCCAAUCUAGUACUGGUGCCGCCACCCAACCUGGUGGUGCCGCUGCCCAGCCUGGUGGUGCCACCGUCCAACCUACUGCCGCCGCCAAUUCUAGUGGUGGUGCCACCGUCCAACCUACUGCCGCCGCCAAUUCUAGUGGUGGUGCUGGUGGCGUGUUUUUGAUGUGACAAAGUACGGUGCUAAACCCAAUGCUGAUAUCACUCAGGUAAAAAUCAAAUGAUAUAUAUAUAUCAUCGUUCAAUGAUGGAUCGUGCGCGGCUGAUUAUGUUUGAGAUUUUAAUUUAAACAGGCUUUGGCAACUGCAUGGAAGGAAGCUUGUGCAUCAGCGGGUCCAAGUAAAAGUAAUUAUUCCUAGCGGGACUUACACCUUAGGUGCAAUUGAGUUAAAAGGUGAAUGCACAAGUACUCCCAUCGAAAUGCAAGUACAAGCAACAUUGCUAGCACCACCAGAUCUAAAAGGUGAAGAUUGGGUUCAUUUCAAGUAUGUCAAUGAUUUGUCAGUAUCAGGAGGUGGAGUUUUUGAUGGGCAAGGAAAAAAAACUUGGGAAAGCAACGAUUGUCAUAAAAACCCAAAAUGUGCACCAAUGCCCAUGGUAAAGCACAGUAGUACUUUAAUGAUCAACUUAAUAAUUUAACCACGCCUAAUUUCUUACUAAUUAAUUUUGAUUCAUAUAUAGUUCUUGAUCUUUUCAAAGACUAAAUAAUACGUAUGAAUGUAUGUAUGUAUGUUAACUAGUGACUUUUUUUUGUUGUUGAAAUAUACAGAGUUUGAAGUUCAGCUUUAUAAAGAAUUCAGUUGUGAGUGGCAUAACCUCUAAAGAUAGCAAGAACUUCCAUAUCCAAGUACUCGGGUGCCAAUAACUUUACCCUCCAAAACGUAAAUGUAAAUGCACCAGGAACUAGCAUUAACACUGAUGGAAUUCACCUCGGGCGUUGUGUUGGAAUUAAUAUAUUAAACUCAAACAUCGGUACUGGAGACGAUUGCAUCUCACUUGGAGAUGGAAGCAAACAAGUAACAAUCACAAAUGUGACAUGUGGGCCUGGACAUGGCAUAAGCGUAGGAAGUCUAGGAAGGUAUAAUGCUGAAGAACCAGUUGAGGGACUUCAAGUUAAGAAUUGUACGAUAACUGGUACAACAAGUGGGUUAAGAAUUAAAACAUGGCCAGCUUCACCUGCUGCUGGAGUAGCUUCGGACAUGCAUUAUGAAGAUAUAGUUAUGAAUAAUGUCUCGAAUCCCAUUAUGAUAGAUCAAGAAUAUUGUCCAUAUAACAAAUGCAAUAAACAGGUACUGAUCGUGAUGAUCAUCAGGGCUGGUUAUGCAACAACAGUAGUACUUGAUCCUUAUUUGUUUCAACCAAAACUCAUGCCUUGUUUCUUGGUUUUUCUUUCAGAUACCAUCUAAAGUGAAGAUCAGCAAGGUGAGUUUUCAAGAAUAUCAGAGGUACUUCUGGAAAUGCACAGGCAGUAACUCUUGUGUGUAGUUCAAGUAAUCCAUGUGAAGGUGUGGAGUUAGCUGACAUUGACCUCACAUACACUGGGAACGAAGGUCCCAUUUACUUCUGUAUGCGCAAAUGUGAAGCCCACUAUUACUGGAAAACAAAACCCUCCUAUUUGUUCUCCGCUUGCUCCCAAAGCUCAAUCACCUGCUGCAACCACUCCAUGAAAGACGAUGACCCCAUGAAUAACCAAAAUUUUGAACAUUUUUUUUUUUUUUUUAAUUUUAGUCUUCAUAAAUUCUUCAAAUAAUUUUGUAAUUGCAACGUUGUUUUAGCACUCAAGUUGAAGUUCUUGUAGGAAAAACUUGGAGUGAACGCAUAUAAACAUACAUUUCUUCCUUAAUUAUGAAUAUUCUUUUGGCUUAUAUUAAUUAUAACAAAUCAUCUUCUCUUUCAUCUUUAAUUUUGUGGUAAAAUCUCGAGACGUGAUGCAUUCUCUGUUUUUUUUUAGCAUAAUUUUUGCACUCGCAAAUAUACAACAAUCAAAUUCAAAUUAUUAACGCAUAAUAAUUUUCAAAAACAAAUUACAAAUAUAGCUAUAUUGUUGAUAAACUCUAAUAUGUAAUAGGAUGUAUAAUACAAGUUUAUGAAUGAUAGAAGUUUACUCAUGAAUAUAGCAAGAAAAAACAUUUUCAAGUAUAACUAUAUAUUAGAAAAUUGUAAAAAAUAGUAAAUUUGACAAAAUAUUUAUAACAUACCACAAAAAGAUAUUAUGAAUUACUUAAAUAGAUAUUAAGAAUCGUUAUGAUUUAGACCCUACUAUUAAUAUAGUCGGACAUUUUAAAAAUAGUAAAAUAAAUUAAAAUAUUUAAUAGAUAUAUCAAAUUUUAGAUUCUAUCCAUGAUAGUUACCGAUAAACUUUUAUUAAAUUAAUUAUAUAUAUCUUUCAUAAAUUUUUAUAUAUUUAUUUAUUAAGGUAAUUUUGAAAUAUUGUUACUAUCUUUUUUGGUUAGAUUUGGAAGAAGAAAAAAACUUAUUUUUAAUAACUAUUCAAAAAUAUGUAUUUUUAAUAAGAUUUCGAAAUAUUUAUAUUUAUCUCAUUCAUUUUUAUUAUUUUAAUGUUGUAUUAAAUUAAUCUUUAGAUUAUACCUUAUUUGUUUAACAUGAUUUGUAUGUUAAUUAUAUUCUAUGUAAUACAUAUAUUAGCAUUUGAAAAAGUUUGUAAGUUAUACAACUAGAAGACAAUAAAAGAACGAUAACGAAUAAGUUUUUGUUAUAGCUUUACAACGAGCAAAGACUAUUUUUUAUGGUAGAUGGAUUGAAACUUUCCAAUAUCACGAUUAUCGCAUUAUUGGGAUGGAUGUUCCAUUUGCAUCUUCAUUUCAACAAUUUGUUGAAUAUAUUCAAGGUAAAUUUUUUCCGUACUUCAAUCUAUUUGUAUAUUUCGAUAGUUUACUGAAAUGACUGCAACAAUUCAAACCUCAUUUUUGUUGAAGUUUGUUGAAAUCAUUAAAUUGGGUUGUUGACUAGUCUAUAUCAGCUAGUGCGGCAGGAAGUAUAGCGUAUCUAAAUAAUGAACUACGCAGUGAAUUAAAUAUCUAGAGUUAUUUAAUAAUUCUAUACGUAGUGAAUUAAAUAUCAAAUACAAAAUAUUUUGUGUUCAUAUUUUUCAUUUAAAUAAAGUUUUCUUAAAUUCUUUAAUAUUUAAGUACGCUCAAGCUUUCACUUUUGUUAAUACAUUAUUUUUUUUCAAAUCAAUUUAGUUUGAUUUUUAGAGGAUAAGGAUUUUUUUUGUUAAAUGACUAGAGAUUUGUGUGUUUUUUAAAUAUAAAGUAAACACACAUUUUUUCCCAAGAAAAGGGGUUUGUUUUGAAAAAUAUAACGAACCAAAACAAUUUUUAAAACGGAAAAAAACUAGAGACCCAGAAUGAAAAAUACAAAAAAUGCAUAGUCAAAUGCGAUUAAUUUACCACUUGUGCUCGUAAUAUAUAUUUGGUACAUAUCCAAAUCUAAACUAUUUUUUAACAUUUUUUAUACAUGAUCGUUUAUAUUUGAGCAGUUUUUUUAAUAUGGUUGGGAUUUGGCUAAACCUACUAUUUUUGUUCAAUUAGUACACGAUCUUAAACCAAAUGGAAAAGUAGAAAGAAGAUAGAAAGGGAGUGCAAACCUCUAAUAUUAAAAAAAAAAUGGUCGGCUUACUGGGUUUGUUGAUUUUGUUGGAGUUUGGUUAUAUUUAUGAAAAUUAUUUUUCUUUGUACCGUUAGUAAUUUAAUUGUACUUAUUAAUUUUUUCAUUGUAAAUUUUCAAUUAAAGUUUGCAAAUUUAUAAAACAUUUUUUUUUGUAAGGCCAUGCAUUUAGGAAUGAGACGUGAAUGAAUAUGUGAACUAGUGAUCUUAAGUAAUCAAAAGUAAGGUUAAGAAAGAUUUAAUUAAAAAGCUACUACCUAUACCAAUAACGUUUCACGUUCCUUUUCAGUGGCUCGAUCAUAGAAACUCAAAUUAAAUGUACUUAAAUGAGAACUAUUGUUUUUUAGAUGAUCGAUGAAUUUUCGUAUACAAGUAAAGACAAGGGACUCUGUGUUCAUUUGUUAGGACGACUUUCAAUCUAAUAAGCAAGUAGAUCUUACAUGUUUGCAUAUAUAUCGAAUAAUUUUAUUUGUUCCGAUCAAUAUCUAAUUCCAAUAUCUAUCAGUUUUCGAUGUUAUAAAUAUUUUAAAUAAUUUUAUCUGAUUUUUUUUUUUUAAAAAUGUUCCUUAAAGUAGGCAAUUUCCAAAUUGGUUUUGUGAACUGAGAAAAUGGCAAACGCAAAUAUGCUAUGGAGUUCCGCUAAGAUUCUUGGAUUUCCUUCUCCGAUAGCAAGCAACGUCCGAUGGGCAAGGUUCGAUUAUACAUUUCGGCUUCGGCAUCGUCCAUUCGAGGGCUCUUUCUUCUUCUUCAACUCCUUGCGUUUCAAUUGCAGCUCCAGUAAUGCAAAUUCAGUAUGUAAUGGCAAACAGUACUUAGUUUUGUCCGACGAAGAGCUGAUGAAACAGUGCGAAAUGGGCACGUUCAAGGCGUCGGGUCCCGGCGGUCAGCACCGCAACAAGCGCGAGUCUGCUGUUCGUUUGAAGCACAUUCCCACUGGUAUCAUUGCUCAGGUUCAUAUUUGUUUCAUACAUACAAUCAAUUUCAUUGAUAUACUUCUGUUUCUUUUGCUCUGAAGUUAAAUUCUUUGGCCCUUUAUUGCCAAGGCUGUUGAGGAUCGAUCCCAGCAUAAGAAUCGAUCCAGUGCCUUAGCUCGUCUUCGUGCUCUCUUGGCCCUAAAAGGUGCGAUGGAUUAUUUAUUAGAUGUUUAUUUGUUUGUUUGUUUGUUUUUUAUCUCAUUUCUCAUUUCAUGUGUUGAUGUAUUGAAUUCAGUUAGGAACCCUGUGGAUCUUGAAGAUUAUUCGCCUCCCCCAGAGCUUCUUCAGAUUCUUCCUCUUAAGUCCACUGUUAGGCCACCGGAAUGUGGCCCUCAAAUUGGUCCUAACAAUUCUAAGUUUCUGCCGGUAUCUCUCUUUUCUAGUUCUUUCUAUAUGUCUAUAUGUGCAUAUGAGUGUGCGUUUAUGAUUUGAUUUUCUUUAAGAUACAUAAAAUUCUUUUUUGAAAUGAAAACAAGAUUUAUUGAAAUAAUGAAUGAGUCUAAUGCUCAAACUACAUGAGAUGAAACAAAAAUAAAAACUGCAAACUUGCCAAACCAAACCAUAAUGUAAAACAUAGACUAAACUUCUGAUGAAGCAGUAAAAACAUUCGAGUUUUAAACAAGUAACUUGAGUUGAACAAUCAGCAAAGUGUUUAAAUAGAAUAUAUAUUUACACACACACACACACACACACACGAGAAGAUUAUGAAUGAUAGCUGAAUUGCUUAAUUUCCAGGGCAUGCAAGCUCUACUGGAUCUAAUUUCCACACUUGAUGGUUCUGUAUCAGACACAGCUAAGCUUUUAGGGUAUGUAUGCUAUUCAUGUGUUAUCCUUUGUUUCUUUUUACUUUGUUUCCAACCUGAGCUAGCAUUCACAGUUAAAUCCAGAGAAUGGGAGUGUUUCAAUUAUGUGAGAAUAUUGGGCUUUUAUCAAGAAAUUGAAUCUGCUGAUGUGUGGAUGUUAUAAUGGUUGAGAUAUGGAGAUUAGUGGAAGGGGUAUCAUUGGUAGGUUUAUGGUUUUUGGGGAAUGAAGAAGAUUGGCAAUUUUUUCGAGGGCGUGAGGGAAGUGACUAAUGAGUUUGGACCUCUGGAAGAUGUUGGAGGAUAAUUUUCUCGGGAAGUGUCUAGUUGAAGGCAGAAGCCUUGCCUUGUGUGUCUUGAAGAAGGCUUCUUUCAUGGGAUCACUAUGAGUAGGAGGAAGGAGCUUUUACAUUUCUUUUAUUACUUUGGACGUUGGUAUCGCUUUCAUUAAGAAGAGUAGACUUAAGGAUUUGAUCGGUCACCUACUAAGGAAGCAGACCAAAUUUGGUUAGAGAGAGCUUCUUAGUUUGAUGACUAGCUCUGCAGAAGGACAUUCCUUUUGAUCUCCAUUCCUUCUCCCAUCUUGUCUGUUGCGAGGUGGGGGAAGGCAUGAGAGAAGCUACAGAAGCUGUCUCUCUCUUUGUCUCUCUUCUCAUUAGUUAGGGAGUUCAAUUUUUGAAGAAAAGGUGUUCAUUAAAAUAUUAGUCUAUUCUUUUCCAUUAUGUCUCAAAAUGAGAUAACCUUAAAUAUUGAGAGGUGGAUUAAUUGAUGCAAUCAGAACUCUUGAAUUACAAUUUAGAUCAAUCGUCCAAAAACGAUUCUUCACCUUUCCCAUUUUUAAUAUGUCAGUGAUAUAUAUUAGUUGCAAACUCUAAUUGUUAUUUUAACGUUUAAAAAUAUAGGUUAACAACCGGUGCUCUUUCAAGGUUAAUCCUAUCCGAUGAUGCUCUUAGAAUGGCUGUAAAUGAUAUCAGGAUGUCCAAGGUAACACCAUACUAUUUAUGAGAUCAUGAUAGUUACCAUUUAUUAUCUUUUUUCAAAAGAUUUUAUAUGCACCACUCACAUACUAAUUUUUCAACAUAAGUCAAUUGACACCCAUCGAUCGUGUCUUCCAAAAUUUGAAAUUUACAGGGUCUGAAGCCGCUCAAGUAGAUUGUCAAACUGAGCAUAACUUCAGCAGCAAUUGACAUGUAUUACUUCUUUCAAGAUCCCAAGUUUAAAACUUCAUAACCAUUAAGUAAAAAGUGGGAAGCUCAAUGAACUUGUAACUAGAGAGACACUACGCAAGCAACUAUCUUUCUUAUUAUCAUGCUUAGCUCAACCGCUCAGAGCAUUACUCACAUCUUUCUUGAUGAUCGGAGGUUUGUAUCUCCAAUCUCGUUGUUAAUGCAUGAAGGUUGAAAACACUUUCUCUUGUUACUCUUCCCUAUUACUGCAGAUUUUAAACUAGAAACGCUUCGAUUUGAAUCUGCUUUAUCGACAAAGAGUUCUACUUUGUUCGCUCAACUGUUGUCAAUUCUCUUGUAUGUCAUGUCUUGUUCUGGAAAGAGGAAAAAGAUUUACUUUUACUAUAGCCUAUAUGUAAGAGGUUUAUGUUGUUGUAUCUUAAUCUUGGAAAAAUAUUGUAAUGUUUAUCUUAAAUAUUAAAAUUGAAUUAUGCAUUGUAAUGUUCAGUUUCUAAUAUUCCUUUUUUCAAUAUAUGUAUAAAUACACACACACAUUCAAUAAAGAAAAAUACCAGUAGAACAGGCAACUCAAUGAGCAGUCGGAUUCCCAACACGAAGACAAAGGAGAAAGAUAAAUCUCGAUUGUCUUGCUACAUUAAUCUCGUCAUGCAUUCCUAAUUCACUACAACACGACUAACAAUUUUAUUUUUUUCUCCCUUCAAAAAGGAUAUGUAUCGAAAACUAACAGGAGUUCGAGGAACAUGCUUCUAGGAGAAUCAACUGGCCAAAUUAAAAUAAUUUCUACCAACUUAUUUAGAUAAGAGGAAGAGAGAUGUACAAAACUAAUUUCAAAAUUAUCACUAAGACACCAUCGCAUGAGCGAGAUGAUGAGCUACCUCACUCGUCGACCUCAUACAACACAAGCUUUGUGAUUAAAGGCAUCAACACGAUUAGUGCAAUCUAAUUCCAUAAUUAGAGGGAAUUUGCAUAAACAAAUUGUUUAUUUUAUUAAAUUUUAGAAAAUAUAUUCAUGAAUAAAAUUAAAAACUUUACGAGGUUAUUUAAACAUAGAAAAAUAUGUCAGACUAUUUCUAAUUAGAUUGAUAGAAACUUAUCACUAUCUAACAUUUUUUUUUCUUUUUUCGUAAAUAGUUUGACAUUUUCUUUUACUCGUAAAAGUUUCUAAUUACUUUUUAUUUUAAAAGUUUUAAUUGUUUUUUAAGAAGAAAUUGUAAUUUGACCUAAAACCACAUUUUAUGAUUGAGUUAUGUAAAUUUUUAGAAAAUUAUUUUUAAAAAAUUGAAGUGUUUAGUAACAUUUGGAAAUGUAUUUUUUAAAAUGAAAUUGAAAAGAUAAAAUUCUUUAAAAAAAAUAAAAAUAAAAAUAGAAGGUUUUUAAACAAAAUUAUGUAUAUAACUAUUUUAUAUUGUUAUAUUGAAUUAAUUUGUUUAUAUCAUAUUCUUUAUUCGUUCGGAGGAGGAGGAAGAGGAACAAAGAAAUCAGAAAUGCCACGAAAUAUGAACGGAAACAGAAACCAAGACGGAGAAGAUGAGAGGGGAUUAUUGUGGAAUCUUCCCGUUCUUAAAUCUUCCAGAUUCGGAAAUUUAGGCCCCGCCUUCGGUCUCGGCGUUGGUUGUGGCGUCGGCUUUGGCAUCGGCCUCGUCGGAGGUCAAUUCUUCAUCACCUUUUUUCUUUUACUCAUAAUUAACUUGUUAUUUCAAGUUUUUUCGUAUGGAUUGUUUCACCCUGCAACUUGCUGAUUGUUUUAUUUGGAGGUUUUCUUGUUCAAUUGGAGGGUUAUUUAGUCUGAAAUGUUUGUUUGGUUUAGGCUGAUUAUCGUUUUAAUUUGUAUUUGUGCCGUCUACUGUCUUUGACUGUUGUCCGUGUCUCCUGAAUUUGGGUUGAGAGAAUAUGAGUGUUUGGCUGCUGAAAUUCUGUAGCCCUGUGAUAUUUUCCCCAAGUUUACGGAUAAUUUGACUUUGUUUUGAAGAAGCUCAAAGAUGGAGGAGACGCAAUACGAGAUCACGACAUACGUAUUUUUCGAGAAUAACGUUAUAAAGAUGCUAUGGGUAACACAAAUGUGUUAGAGUUUAGACUUGAGAAAGGGAAUGCUAUUUUCUAGGAUAGUUUGAAAAUCAUUCAAAGGAAUAAAGUGUAUCAAUAAGAAAAAUAACUAAUUUUCCUACAAAAUAGCUCAAUUAUGAAUCCCCAAAUGGCGCCCGGAUGUAGUUCAUUCAGGUGUUAGUGUAUAUCUUUAACAUAUAUAUUUUUUUAAAUUGUAUUUCAUGCUUCAUCUUUAUCAUUCAACAAUUUCAGACAUGCCUUUUGAUGGAUACACCUCGAGAGGAAUUCUAAUCUGUAUUGUAGUUUGUGAAAUUUAUGGACUAAGUUUCUUCAAGCAGUUUAAUCGGAUGUUGUGUCAUUUAUUUGUGUAUUUAUGUUUGUUUGUAUGAUUGUGAUCAAAUAUGAAAAGCUUUAAUCAUUUUCACAAGUUUAUCAUCCAGCACCUUUUCUCUUCGUCUUUUCAUUUUUUUGUACUUGUAAAUAUAUUAUUCAGUUUUGUUAACUUUUAUGGUGGUUUUUCUUUUAGUCCGGAGGGUGGGUGUUGAAUUUUAUUUAUCACAAUUUAGGAGUCUACAAGCGUUACUUGGUUGCAUAUUUGAAGUUCCAUCUAUCUGUUUAGAAGGAUUUUCAGGUGCCAGAAGCUUGAAAUGUAUUAGGCUUAAAAAAUUGGAGUUCACAAAGCACUCCAUUGUUGAUGAGGAUUAAAUUCUCUCAAUCCUUUGUGAUAGUAUGGCUUUUAGUCUAUAAGAAACGCCAUUGAUUUUCUUUUUCAUAGUAGACACUAGACAUUAACUGGAUGAGAAAAAAGGAACAGUAGCAAUUGGGAUGAUAAGGCAUUCUUUGUUCUCCCACAUGCACACUUAAAUAAACACAUAGAAGAAGAAGCUAUUGUGGAUUUUAGGUUUUGGUAGAAGGUAGGGCAUGAGUGUCAGCCAAUGAAUAAAUAUUUUCAUUGUUGAAAUUUUAUUUUGCACUUUAUACUGUGGUGAACUACCCUUGUUUAGUUUAAUUGAAACUAAUUAAAUAGAUGAAUUUGCUAAAAAAUUUCUCCACUCUAGGUGCUGGAUUUGGUCCAGGAAUUCCUGGCUUACAGCUUGGCUUUGGUCUUGGUGCUGGAUGUGGAGUUGGCUUAGGAUUUGGCUAUGGUGUUGGCAGGGGUAUUGCCCAAGAUGACAAACGCAGAUACUCAAACGUUGGGGAUGUAUUGCGUGGUCGUCAAAGUAUUUUUCCUCAGUAAGUUCUAAAACUAACUGUUUUCAACUUGUGACUACCAUGUUCUCUUAGUUAUGCAUUAUUACAAGUCAGGGAAAAUUAACUUUUUCGUGGGUUUGGUGACCUGGCUUUUACAUAACAUGUACUUACUAAGGUGGCAAUCCAUGAUAGAUGAUUCAAAAUAGUUUUAAUUGUACUAUCAAUCUCAAGGUUAGAUUCCUUCCCCCCACAUGUUGUAAUAAGAAAAGUCCCAUUCUUUAUCUUCUUUCUCUCCUCUCUCUUCCCACUCUCUAUCCCAUUUCUCUCUUUUUGCUUAGUUUCUCUCUGCAUUCUCUCUUCUUCCCAAUUAAUCUUAUCAGUGGCUUGGACUCUAUGUUGUGAUUCACUUUCCAUCUUUUCAUUUCAACUCAGUUCAUCUUCUUUCAAUAACCUAGAUCAAUUGGGGUCAACUUAGACGUUCAUCUUGAAAAAUUGCCAUUUUGUUUUUAAAAUAUCUAUAUCUUUUUAAAAGUUAGGAAUAUCACUCUUGACCUUUGAGAAAUGUUUUUUUUGUCGCUCAAAUUACUAACAUCCUUCUCUUUCUUGUUCCCAUUCGACUUAGGGAGACACUAUCUUCUUAUCCACCUCAGUUGGCUGGGUGAAAUCAUUGAAACUAACGGUUGAUUGUCCAGAUCGUUAAACUAAACUACCCUACGUUUUACCAUCUUGGUUACAUUUAUAGGAUGGUCAGAAUAAUAAUUCCUUUUGAAAUCAUACUCUAAUUUGCACAGGAUUAAAUAGUGCCUUUCUUAACAGUGAAAAGUUAGAAACUGAUUGAUGACAUUUCCACGAUUUUCAUUUAUAAUCUGUGCAGCUAUUGAACUUCAGUACUCUGACUUCAUGAAACAUUUCUUGACUUUCAUUUUUACUUGUCAUCCAUCAGUCAGGACGAUAUCGGCGCGCUUGUUGACGACCUUGUCCUAAAUACAAAGAGACUUAUCCGAGCUACUUCAAAGGAGAUUGACAAGUGGAAAAGAUGAAAUUUUACUCAUUUGUUAUUACAUUGUACAAGUCUAUUACGAACAACAACAAUCAAAACUGAAGAACAAAGAAACGUGCUGGCUGACAUAUGGUAUGUUAUUACUUCGGCUUUUAGAGGCAGAAUUUAUGUACAAUUGUUUAGAAAGAUGUAUUUAACCUCUAAAUCUCAUAUGCAUUGGGUUUUGAGCAAUCUUAAAAUGCCAAAUGCUUAAUGUAUUAGUUUAGGUCCCUAGAUGGCUGAUUUAUCAUUGUGUGUAUGCAUUGGUUACGUGCGCCCGUAGUUAAAAGGUGAAAUUUUGCUAAUUCGGUCAUUAGUCGUUCUUAUACAAACGUCAAGUUGUGCUUUAUCUUGUUAGGUUUAAAAGUUGCAAUAUGUUAGAAGUAUUCCAUAUAGUUUUUUAAGUUACCUGGUAAAUAUCAAUAGGAUUAAAUUUCAUUUAACCCUCAAAAUCUUAGGUUUUUUUUUUUUCUAAUAUUUUGAAAUGUUUAUGUUGAUAUCUAAAGUUUAAAAAUAACACUUAAAAUUAGGAUUUUUUUUAUUAAUUUUUAUAAAUAUAUCAAACCAGUCAAAUAUUUACCGUUGUGUAACAAAAUGAAAAAGCCACGAUUGGUCAUGUUUUUAAAAAUAUUUCAUCUUUGUCAUUUCUUUUCGUCAUCCUUCUUUCUCUACUUAUACGAUUGUUUUUCAAAUUGUUAUUUAGUUGACAAUCAUAUACCAAAUAUAAAAUAUUCAUUUUUUAAAAUAUUUUUUUCAAACGGUUAUUAUCGUUUAAAAAAAAAAAUCAUUGACAUAUUAGAUAGCUAAAUUUUACUAAAUGAUUGUGUAUCAAGAUAUGAUUCAAUUACGUGUACCAAAUUCUACUACCAAAUCUAAACGAAGAUGUUUACGGGCAUGCUUGGUGUCAAUUAAUUAUCGACUUUUUUUGUAUUUCUUAUUGUGGGCUUUUUUCUCUUUAUAUUUUUUAAAACACACCAUUUUUUUUUAUAUAAUUGCUAGCUAUAAUUUUACUAACAAAUAUAACUCAUCAACUUGUUUAAUCAACCAAUAAUACGUGUCUAGAACAGCAAGUACAGAACUUUGUGAAAAAUGACUUUAAAAGAAACUUGCUAUAUUUAUGUUUACACAUCAAUACACAUAACCAAAGCUACACAUUAGAUUUGUUAAAUACUUCAAAAUUAGCUAUAAAAAAAACAGAAGUCUAAAAUAGACCUUUGGAAAAGAAGCAAAGGUAUAUUUACGAUUUACGAAUGAAUGACCACAUAACAAAAAUCUUGAUGUCCAAAUGGCACAAUUUUGUUAAGGAUAGCUCACGUUAUCCAAAUCACUCAAUCGGAGACACCAACUUAAAGGCCACAUCUGCCACCUCACCACUCUCCACCAAUCACAACACAGCAUUGGAUUUCUGAGCUCAUGAGACCAAUCACAAACCUCUAUCCGACGUGGCAUGUCCACAUCCACCAGCACCAACCAUAUAGCUUCUUCCUUCUCCUCAUCUCUUCUUCACCAUUUACACAUUCUUCAUUCUUCUUUCUUCUUUCCUCCCUUCAAUCCCCCCCACCAUGGCUUCUUUGGCUGCUUCCACCGCCGCCGCCUCCCUCGGCGUCUCUGAAAUGCUAAGAAACCCUCUUAGCUUCUCCUCCAGGUCCGCUCCCUCCCCUUCUACCCCCGCCACCUUCAAAACCGUUGCGCUUUUCGGGAAGAAGCCCGCAGCACCUGCCAAGCCAAAGCCCUCUGCUGCCUCUCCCGUCAACGACGAGCUCGCCAAGUGGUAUGGUAAGUCCACUUCCACCCAUUUACAUCUUUCCACUCCAAUAAAAAUGGUUCGCUCGAAAUUAAUUAUAUACCAAGUUUAUCGAGUUUUCUUUUUGUAAUAUUGAAUUAUUUUAAGUAUUUUGUUUGAAUUUAAUUACUUCUUUUUCAAGUUCAACAUAACUGCCAGAGCAAGAAAUGGGAUGAUUUCUUUUACAACAAGUCUCUAAUGGUCAUAUCUUUUGUUUGUACAUGUUUUCUCAACUUGAUGUUAACUAUGCUCUUCGACACUAAUUUAGGGCCGGAUAGAAGGAUUUUCUUGCCAGAUGGUUUGUUGGACCGAUCCGAGAUCCCCGAGUACUUGAACGGAGAAGUCCCCGGCGAGUACGGUUCAAUUUUUUUUUAUCCUCCUCAUCAUUGUAGUUCUAUGUUUAGGCUCCAAUGGAAAUUGAACUCUAACACAUUGUUUUAUUUGGUUUGUUACAGCUAUGGUUAUGACCCCUUUGGACUCAGCAAGAAGCCCGAAGACUUCACCAAGUAAGUAAAUCUUUAUUAAUCUACAAAACGAAGAGUAAUUUGUUCAAUUGUUAUAUGAAGGCUUAGUGAAAAAAUGGUGCUUUUUGUGUUUUUGGCAUGCAGAUACCAAGCAUUUGAAUUGAUUCAUGCAAGAUGGGCUAUGCUUGGAGCUGCUGGUUUCAUCAUCCCUGAGGCCUUCAACAAAUUCGGCGCUAACUGUGGCCCCGAAGCUGUCUGGUUCAAGGUCGAUUUUCAUCUCUAUUUAGACUCCGAUUGAUAAUGAUAGUUGAUUCUCAUCUCAUGAAAACUCGUUUAAUAGUUUAGUGUCUUUUCAAACAAACAAAUAAAUAUAGAAAUGAGAAUCUGUUUGGGAUAAUAAUCUAACUUAUUUUUGUUUUUAGAAUUCGACUAGAAAAGGGAGAUGACGAACAAAAUGUAUAUAAGAAAUUAACUUAAACCUAAAGAAAACGAAAAAUAGUUAUCAUACAUCUGAUUUGGAUGUGAACUAUUGGCCUAUACAGACCGGAGCUCUACUUCUUGAUGGAAACACAUUGAAUUACUUUGGAAACAACAUUCCCAUCAACCUCAUCGUCGCCGUCAUUGCUGAGGUUGUUCUUGUUGGUGGCGCUGAAUACUACAGAAUCAUCAACGGCUUGGUACGUCAUACAUUCUAUAAUUACUUUACAUGAUAUCAGAUCAAGAGAUUCUUCUAUUCAUACUCUUCUAACGAUAUUUUCUUGGACGUUAAUAUUGUAGAACUUUGAGGACAAGCUUCACCCAGGAGGGCCAUUCGACCCAUUGGGGUUAGCAGACGACCCAGACCAGGCAGCAAUCUUGAAGGUGAAAGAGAUCAAGAAUGGAAGAUUGGCAAUGUUUGCAAUGCUAGGGUUUUACUUCCAAGCAUAUGUGACAGGAGAAGGGCCAGU